UUUUUUUUUUUUUGCUUUUUGGUUUAACCGAGGUUGGAAAACCGAUCCCCGAACUAAUUUUAGUUCUUUAGGAUUGAUGACCGGAUUGGGGAUCAGAUUUUUUUUGUUUUGGUCUAUCCGGGUUAGGUUCAGGUACUUCCAAUUCGGCAAAUCGGUUUUUCGUUUAAUUUGUCCGCCUCCCUCUUAGGGAUACACAAUGCAGAAAAGGUAAUAAUUAUUGUAGAAAUUAAGAAAUAAGUUUCUAUUACAAAUUCUACAUCAACAGAUGCUGUCGCAAAUAAAAAUAUUUCAAUCUGAUGGGCGGGCGGAAAUGGAGGGGGUAGGCACCCCAGCCGUGAUGCGCGAAUGAGGACCACUGCAUUUCUUUUUGCAGUCAUCCAUUGUCAGAUAGCAGUCCUCCGUCAGGUAACAACAGUUGCAGUAGCCAUCUUUGCAAGGUUUGUACGCACAUAAUCCGUGCGGCAGGCUUAUCCUCACGUUGUCCAUGUCUUCCGUGCUUCCACCUAUAUGAAAUUAUAAUAAGCACACUCAUAAUUCGUAGGUAUAAACAAGAAAAGUAGACAAGAUCGCUCCGCUAGAGAUUCAAGAUUGGACUCUUAGUCUUAUGUACCACCAACAAACACAGGGUUAUCAAUAAUCUGGCCACAUAUCUCCCACUUACAUUGUGAAUGGAUAGCAAGGCAUACGAGAAGAAGCAGGAGGACUGGGCCGUGGACGGGCUUCAUGUACGUGGCCAUGUAUGCAAUACAGAUGGUCGAUGGUAGAAUAUAUAUCUUCAGAUCAAGAAUCUAAUACAUGCAUAUGGUUCAUAUAUAUAGAUGGAGACGAGAAGGACUCUAGAUCUAACAUGUUUAUUGUUUGGAAUAUAUUGAUCAGAUGAAGAUAUGGUUAUCCAUAUCGUUCCAAAAAUAGUAGUAGUUUAUAUCUAUCUAUAUCUAUAUCUAUAUCAAUAUAAAAAGACCUAAAGGGGCAGAUCCAAUUAAUCUCGGCCAUCAAAUCAUGUUAAUCCAACGACCUAGACUACUUUAAUGUCGAGCGCUCAACAUGUUUAGCGUGCAGUUAAUUUAAUGAUAAAUAUAAUGCUAAUCACAUAAUAACACGCAAAUGAUAUCCUACUUAAUAUCCGCAUGCACUUAAUAUACUUCCAAAUUAACGUGAAUUGAACACAUUGACUAGUGAGAAUAAAACGCUAUAUGUUGGGAGGACUUGAGUAUUACGGACGCAGCUAAUAUUUUGUAUGUUAGGAAAAACUGGAAACACCAGAAAUGUGAAGUACGAACUAAUGAUAUAAAUUCCUAGGACAUUUUUUGUGCAUGUUAAAAAGAUUAAAAAAUGCCUCGUGAAUAGCUGUAAUCAAGCAUAAAAAAUUGUCAUUUUACACAAGCCACAAAAAUGUCCUUUUUCAUCAAAACUUGGUGCAAGCACAUAUAAUGUCCGGAUUUACACGCGGGAUUUUUUUCUCAAUUUUUUUUUAAAAAUUAAAAUGUAUAUUUAGAAAACGGGUGCAUAUACACCUAGGAGCCAAAGUAAAUUUCCGAUAUAUUCGUACCUUAUUGAGAGCGUUCGAGUAAAAAAACUAAGUCUUCCUAAUUAACGUAAUCUAUGCCACUAAAUGUCGCGAUUUUGAAAUAUCACGUGGUCAUAGAACAACGUGAUACUACUAGAGAAAAUAAGAACGAUUUUAUUAUUCCAUAUAAUAUAUUAAUGCAUGUAAAAAACGCACAUAUAUGGUUAAGUACACCAACAAAUUUCAUGAAGUAAAGAAGAUGUAUUGUCAUAUUUGUCAGCACACUUUGUUUAUCUCUACUCCUAAAGUCUCUACUCAUAAAUAAUGGUACAACAAUAUUAGGUAAUUCAGAAUUUAAAAAUCGCCCAUACAUGUGAGAUCACCUUCCUAAAAAGCAAACCAAAGAUCUUUCUUAAUAACCUUCCAAAAUAAAAUCAAAUAGUCCUCAAUGCCAUGUCGUUAAUCUGGUGCACUACGUCAGUUAUUUUCUAUGAUUAUCUGUACAAUUGAAUCACAAUCACAAUUUUCCUAAUACAAAAAAUAUCUACAUGUCUUUUCUUAUCUUGUCAAAUCUCCAAUGUUUAAAGGGAAUGUAUACGUAGUCAUUUGUCGAUCCGCCUCUCGAUAGUCCUCCCUAUCGCCUGCCAUGCCGACAUCAUCUGAAACAACGCCACCCUGCACUUAUCCUCGCCACCAGGGUUUGCGCUCUGAUGAUUGGUGGUUAUUUCCGCCCGCAUGAUCCGGUCACCGCCAAGCGCCUUCCUUGUGGAUCCGAUGGGUAAGGAGAGGGGUUGCCAAGGAGAGGAGCGAUGGGCCACCGUCACAGCUCUAAGGAUGGCAAUGGGUAGGGUAUGAGGCGGGUAGAGCAAUACCAUACCCAUACCCGCGUAGUCAAUGGAUACAAAAUUCUACCCAUACCGGUACCCAUGGGUAUGAAACUUUACCCGUACCCAUACCCGGCGGGUACCCAUACCCAUUGGAUACCCAACGGGUAGAUCAAAUAGUACACAAGUUAUUCACAAUUUCACAUUCAUCAAUAUCACAUUUGAUUAAAAAAAUAUCUUAACUCAGUAACAGAUAGAUGAGUACAUAACAAUUAUCUCAAUUCAAAUUGACGAUUGGUAACAACUUUAACAUAGGUUCAGAAUCUCACGACACACUUCACGGGUAAGGUACACGUGUCAGUGUAAACAGGUAGGGUAUGGGUAUAUCCAUAGAUACAAGGUUAUACAUGUGACAUACCCAUAACUCGGGUAGAGUAUGGGUAUUGCCCAUCGGUAUAAAAUUGUGGUCAUACCCUGCCCAUGCAGGUACGGUAUCCGCCGGUACCCAUACCCAUGAACCAAAAAUUACCAUCCUUACACAGCUCCGUGCGUUGCGGUCAUGGGCAGGAGGCCCGGGAGCAGGGCGAUGCUGGCAGGUAGACGUAGGAGGCACGCGAUGGAGGACAAGCCCGUCGCCGGAACCGCGUGGAGGACGCAACCCCCUGUCGGCGAGCCCAUCGUCGCCGGUAUCACGUGAAGGCCGCAAGCCCCACUGGUGCUACCGAUUUGCAGCGUAUCCAAUCGCGCCACGUCUCGUCAAUGAGCAUGUGGUCGCCCACCCCGCUCUACAUCUGAUUCGCUUGCCCCACCUCUGUGGUAUUCUUCCUCACUUCCUGACAUCUUCACAAGGUACAGUACGUGUAACCCCACCACAAUCGCAUAAUGAAAUUCUGAAGCAAUUAGUCCAUAGCUUGAUUACCUGCACUUCAUCUAAUUGUCUUACUUACGCGAAUGUUGCCCCUCGCCCCUCGNNNNNNNNNNNNNNNNNNNNNNNNNNNNNNNNNNNNNNNNNNNNNNNNNNNNNNNNNNNNNNNNNNNNNNNNNNNNNNNNNNNNNNNNNNNNNNNNNNNNNNNNNNNNNNNNNNNNNNNNNNNNNNNNNNNNNNNNNNNNNNNNNNNNNNNNNNNNNNNNNNNNNNNNNNNNNNNNNNNNNNNNNNNNNNNNNNNNNNNNNNNNNNNNNNNNNNNNNNNNNNNNNNNNNNNNNNNNNNNNNNNNNNNNNNNNNNNNNNNNNNNNNNNNNNNNNNNNNNNNNNNNNNNNNNNNNNNNNNNNNNNNNNNNNNNNNNNNNNNNNNNNNNNNAGCGCCGCCGGGCGAAACCUGGCUGGCUGGGCGGCGGCGGGGCUUCUCCCCAUCCUCUCCGUCUUGGCUGGCGCGGGACAGCGAGAUCCAGUGGAACGCCGGGCGAACGUGGGGUCCGGUGGCGCGGCGGGCGGGUCUCCCAUCGGCGUCAUGUGCGGCGCGGCGGUGGCGACCUGCGUGUCGUGAGGUGGUGGCUGCGUUGGCCUGACCGGUGGUCGCGGGUGCCGCCGGAUCCAGAUCGGAUCCAUCUGGAUCCUUUCUUCGGACUCCGUCGGCCGCCGCGGGGUGGUGAUGAUCGUCGCUGGCCACGUCGGAUCGUUGGAUUCGGCGUCUGGAGAUCUACAAGGAGUUCUUCUCGAUCCUCCUUUCUGGUGGGUUGAGCCCCAUGGCUCUUUCAUCUUCGCGGGUUUCGGAUCGUGGCUUGCCGGAUCCGGAGUACACGGAGGUUUGGUGGCAUAGGAUGGGGACCGGAGGAAACUUUGGCCGGCGUGUUCGGCCCGGCAUCGGCGACGUCACUUGACGCCGUUACCCUUCCUAGAGGCGAAGCAGAGGUCCCCCCUAUCCACCCCCGAACCCCUCCCGGACGAAAGUCCAAAAUUCAGUCUGGAUUGGGCGGCGGCGGCGUCCUGCGCGUCGUAUCCUCCAUGGAGGCGCCGUCUUGGAAGGAACUGCUGUUCGGGGGAGAGAUGUUGUGGAUGGUGGGCUCCGAGUAGCUCCAGCAGUGGCGAUGGUGUGGAGGUUGCCAGGUGGUGCGGCGUUGUAUCUACUGCGUCAUUGACGACGAGUGGUGGCGGCAUGGUGCAGCUGCAUAUCGACGACGGAUGCGGCUAGAUGGACGAGCGCAGGGUGGUCGAGCUGUCUGGCGCCAUGGUGGCGUCCACGGCAGGCCUGGCAAGGUCUGUGCGUCAGUACCUGCUCUGGAGAUGGAUCGGUGGAAGAAGGCGGCGGCAGCCUCGGUGAGUGCGCCGGACCGGCGUGUGACCCAGUCCCGGUAUGUGGCUAGGAUGGGGCAUCCGGCAUUAGAUGUUAGGAUUUGGUGCGAUAUCUGUUUCGUAUUAGGCUCGGACAUUCGCCACCACUGCAUCAAGGGGAUAGGAGUAGCGACAGAUGUUGCCUAGAUGGUGGCUUCAGGCUUACUGAUGUACUACUUUGUAAGGUGUUUUGUGCUUAAUAAUUAAUAAAGUGGCCGUAUGCAUCGUCCAGAUGCAGUGGCUGGGGUGCAUCCUCCUUUUCUAAAAAAAACUAAUUGUCAUCUACUCCCUAUCUAAAAUACAAGUUUUUUCUAAAGAUUGUAAUAUGGACUAUAUACAGAGCAAAAUGAAUAAAUCUACACUUCAAAAGACAUCUAUAUUCAUUCGUAUGUUGUUCAUAUUCAAAUCUCUAAAAAGACUUAUAUUUCGGAAUGGAGGGAGUAAUACUGAACAGUUUUUUUUUGCAGGGGGCUUAACAGUUUUAUUGUGCAACCCAUAUAUGGAAAACCACAUUUUAUAGUUUGCAAAUGUUAACGUCCACACGUGUGGCACGAAGCAACAUGGCCCAAACGCCUCCGGUACCAUUCACUUUGCCACAUCAAAACAGAUGACAUCAGCGGGAAUCUUUUUGGUUUUUCGACUUAAAAAUAUUUUAUCUCCUAAUUAAAAAUCAAUUUUCACCAUUAAAUCCGUCUCAACGAGAUCUUCAAAACUAGAUCCCAUGUUGCUAUGUUUUGACAAAAAAAAAAUUGGCCAAAAGUUGCCAUGAUGUUUACACUGUAGUUGUUAUAGUGUUACACUAAAGUUGCCAUGUCAUAAUUUUAGUUUAUAGAGCAUGGCAAUUUUAGUAUUUUGACCAUGGCAAUUCCAGUACUUUGACCAUGAAAAUUAUUUUUUGUAUGAACCAUGGCAAAUUUAAGUGCAUGUAUUAUGAAAAUUUUAGUUUAUGGUUCAUGGCAAGUCUAGUUUCUUAAUUCUUCAUUUUAUAAUAUGUCAAAAUUACUUUUAAAUGUAGAAGAAAAUAGCUGGAACAUAUCAUGGCAACUUCAGUGUAAACACCAUGACAAUUCAUGUGUAAUAGACAUGGCAACUUUUAAAGUCGUCGAAAACAUGUUGAUAUGAGAUCUAGUUUCGAAGAUCUCGUCACCAUGGAUUUAAUGAUGAAAACGGACCUUCAAUCCAAUUUUUCAUUAAAGAGAUAAAACAGUUUAAAAACUGGAAAUCCGAAGAAAAAAAUCCCACAUGCAUGCAUACGGUGACGUGUCGUAGUCUGUGUGUUAUAGGAUGUGUGGGCGGUUGUCGCUUCCACCACACAUGUGGGCAUUAUCAGCGUUCUUUAUAGUUUUCUCAGGGGGGGUGUACCGUGUAUAGGGGGCAUAUCUCUGUUCCUUUGUAUGCUUGUUCAACAAUAUAGGAAAAGCUUGUAGUAUGAAAAUCACGAUAGUGGGGAUACGUUGCUGAAACUGAUGGGUGCUUGGCCUCACAUGUAAAUGAUUUGGUUUCUCAUUAAGUGUUCUCUUUCCCACUAAAUGUCACAUCUGCCAUCUCAAAAAGAAAUCCACAUCUACAUGACUUCAUGUUCUUAGAGCAUCUCCAAGGGCGCGCGAUAUUAGCGCCGCGCUGAAAAAAUAGCAGUUUUUGCACGCGCAGCCGUUCCGGGUGCUCCAACGGAGGCGCAAAAAACACGCGUGUGCGGCAUAAGUGGUUUAGCGCGCGGAGCAAAACGGCAUGUCACGCGGCUUAUUUCGUGUGCCCGCUCCCACGCGCUGCACACUCGAGCGCCCGCGCCGCACUGCCGCCACCCUCUCCGGCCGCGCCGCCUUCGCCCCGCCCCGCGCCGCCGCCGGCGAAUUCGUUUGAUGGACAGCCGCGCCGACAUCCCCCUCACCCCUUCCUACACCCUCGACCCCUCCGCCAACGCUGCCGUCGGGGCAAACCCUAGCGCGGGGAGCUUUGGCUUCGCCUCCGCCGGAGCUCAUCCAAGCACCGGUCUCGCGCGCGGCCUUUUCAUGGCGCCACGGACGACCUGGGCGGGUGGCGUCGCACUGGCGCUCGCCGUGAAGCCACUUGCCCCCCUCUCGAAGCUGCCAAAUGCGGCGGUGGCGAAAGCCGGAAAGGUAUCCGGGAAGAAGCACAAGGCGGCGGACGGCUCCUCUAGGCGCCAGAAGAAGAAUCUUGCAGGGCGCGCGACGGAUGCGGCGGCGACCAAAGCGCCAGCGAGCUCACUUGUUGCGCCCGCAGCCGAUGCGCACAAGGUGUUCGAUGAAAUGCCCACAAGGUAUGAUUUCGCCCACUUUUUUUCGUUGUUGUUUUUUACAUGAAUUGAUACAUAUGGAUAGCUUAUUUGUUUUAUUGUAUAUACUUUGUAGUUUCAAUGAUGAGACAUAUAUGUCAACUAUGGGUGUUGGCUCCAACAACUGUCAUUUGGUCUCAAACCAAUGAUGUGCAUUUAGAUGAUCAUGAGUUUGAGGUGGACGAGGAUGGUGAGGGUAUCGUCGAUGCACCGAAAGGAAGAGCGGGCAACUACACCAUGGAUGAAGACAUCUUGCUAUGCAAUACAUGGUUGCAAGUGUCUAGGGAUGCCACCGUUGGAGGGGAUCAAAGUAGAGAUAUUGGAUCCGGAUGAAGGAGCACUUUGAUUUACACAAUAAAAGUGGAAUUGACAACAGGGAAAGAUCUCUUCGCUCCCAGUGAUCGACAAUCAACAAAGAUUGUCAAAGGUAGGCGGCUGCACUUAAGGCGGUUGGCACGAUAAACCCAAGUGGCACUAAUGAUAGAGAUAGGGUGAGUGCCAUUUCAAGUGCUAACUUGUUCUUCCAUGUUCAUGCUUCUUCUUUGGUGUUUCAGGUGCUAACUUGUUCUUUUGUUUGUUACUCACUAUUGCACAAAACUUAUUUCAAGGAGAGGAGAAGAAGACCAAGAAAUGGAAGAUCAAAAAAGGAAGAGCAUUUACCUCGCCCCGUUGCUAUGAUGUGUUGAAGGAUGAUGAGAAAUGGAAGCCCCAUGAAGGUGUCGAUGAGGAGAGCAACAAACGCAAGCAAACAAUUGAUUUGGAUGAUGAUGAGCAGGAGGCAUCAAGUGAAGACGGCAAGAGAAUCCCUACACCAAACUCGGUUGCCUACUCCAAUCCAAAAAGACCAAAUGGAGGCAAGAAAGACGGAAAAGAAAAGAAGAAGAGGAAAGGAGAUGAUGAGUUAAGAAGGCUAUGGAAGCUAUUGUGAACGCAAGAAAGGAAGCCAACGAGGUGAGGAAUGAUAACCCACAAGUAUAGGGGAUCGCAACAGUUUUCGAGGUAGAGUAUUCAACCCAAAUUUAUUUAUUUGACACAAGGGGAGCCAAAGAAUAUUUGCAAGUAUUAGCAGAUGAGUUGUAAAUUCAACCACACCUGGAGAUUAAUUAUCUACAGCAGAGUGAUCAGUAGCAAAGUAGUAUGAUAGUUUUGAUAGUAGUAGCAACAGCAAUAAUAACGGUAACAGUAGUAGAAGUGAUUUUGUAGCAAGUGUAACAGUAACAACAGCAGUAGUAACUUAGCAGGAACAAUAGGAGAGAAAUUUGUAGCCACUGGAUCGGUGAAUUCGUUGGAUGAUAUUCAUCAUAUAACAGUCACAACCUAGGGCGAUACGGCUCUAGCUCCAGUUCAUAAAUAUAAUGUAGGCAUGUAUUCCGUAAAUAGUCAUACGUGCUUAUAGAAAGAACUUGCAUGACAUCUUUUGUCCUACCCUCCCGUGGCAGCGGGGUCCUAUUGGAAACUAAGGGAUAUUAAGGCCUCCUUUUAAUAGAGAACCGGAACAAAGCAUUAACACAUAGUGAAUACAUGAACUCCUCAAACUACGGUCAUCACCGGGAAGUGUCCCUACUUCUGUCACUCCGGGUUUGUCGGAUCAUAACACGUAGUAGGUGACUAUAACUUGCAAGAUCAGAUUUAGAACAUAGAUAUAAUGGUGAUAACAUGAAUGGUUCAGAUCUGAAAUCAUGGCACCCGGCCCAAAGUGACAAGCAUUAAGCAUGGAAAAGUCAUAGCAACAUCAAUCUCAGAACAUAAUGGAUACUAGGGAUCAAGCCAUAACAAAACUAACUCGAUUACAUGAUGAAUCUCAUCCAACUCCUCACCGACCAGCGAGCCUAUGAAGGAAUUACUCACUCCCGGUGGGGAGCAUCAUGGAAUUGGCGAUGGAGAAGGGUUGGUGAUGACGAAGAUUGAAGAUCCCCCUCUCUGGAGCCCCAAACGGACUCCAGAUCUGGCCUCCCGAUGAAGAACAGGAGGUGGCGGCGGCUCCAUCUCGUGAAAUGUGAUAAUUCUUUCUCCUUGAUUUUUUCUCCGAAUAUGUGAAUUUAUAGUAUCAGGGUUGAAGUCUGUGGGGCCACCAGGUGGGGACAACCCACCUGGGCACGCCUGGAGGGGGGCGUACCCUGGUGGGUUGUGCCCACCUAGGUGCCCCCCUCCGGUGGUUCUUGUCUCCAAUAUUUUUCAUAUAUUAUAUAAAAAAUCUCGCAAAGUUUCGUUCCAAUCCGAGAACUUUUAUUUCUACACAAAAACAACACCAUGGUAGUUCUGCUGAAAACAUCGUCAGUCCGGGUUAGUUUCAUUCAAAUCAUGCAAAUUAGAGUCCAAAACAAGAGGAAAAGUGUUAGGAAAAGUUGAUACGAUGGAGAUGUAUCAACUCCCCCAAGCUUAAAUCUUUGCUUGUCCUCAAGCAAUUCAGUUGAUAAACUGAAAGUGAGAAAGAAAACUUUUAUGAACUCUUUUGCUCUUGUUUACAUAAAUAAGCUUAAGUAGCACCCAGGUAUUGAGCCAAGAUUAUAACUAACCAUGUCGACAAUAACUCUUAGAAAUUAUAUUAACUCAUAUCAAUGACAUAAUCAACUAGCGAGCAAUAAUAAGAUAUCUCAAACAACAACACUUUUUCAAAACAACCAUGAUAUAAUAUGACAAUAGUGGUAUCUCGCUAGCCCUUUCUCAGACCGCAAAACAUAAAUGCAGAGCACCUCCAAAGUUCAAGCAGCGACUAAACAUUGUAAUUCAUGGUAGAAAAUAUCCAUUCAUGAUGCACCAAACAUUAGCUACACACGAUGGAUGAGGAUGACAAUGGUGCUCUCUAGUUCUGGCGCUUAUUUGAGAAGGUGAUGACACAACAUAAAAGUAAAUAUAUAGUCCCUUCGUAGAGGGAAGCAGUGAUUUGCAGAGGUGCCAGAGCUCAAGUUUUUAAAACAGAGGUAAAUAAAAUUUUGAGAAAUGCACCCUUGUUGUUUACUUCGUGACCAUUAGUUAUCGUUAUCUUCCAUGCUAAACACAUUAGUGGCGGUUCCCAAGCAAUAAAAGUAAAGGUUUACUCCCCCUCGACCAACAAUCACACUCCACGGCUGGUCCGAAACAACGGGUACCGUCCAUACCAACAAUAGUCCUGGGGAGUUUUGUUUAAUUAUUUGCAAUUUGAGUUCGGGACUGGGAAUCCCUAUUACCACCCCUCUCGUGCAAGGACGAGUGAAUCAACACUCAUCAUGAAAAUAAACCGCUUAGUAUGGAAGAUACUGACUACCUCCUGUCGCUCUAUGAACAAUCCAGACACACAAAAAGAAUAUUUAUUUGAAGUUUUUAGAGGUGGCACAUGCACAAUCAUUUUAACGCAAUGUUGACAUCCAAGAUAAAUCAUUAUCCACUCCUAGCUACUUAAGCAUGGCAUGAGAAACUAUAAUCUCGAAUUGUCAUUGCAAACAUGUUUGAUCAUAAUAGGCUGAAUCAUGGAUACUAGGUUAAACAUAUUUACAAAAACAGAACAAGUUGAGUUCAUACCCAUUUCUCCCUGCCACAGCCAAUUCAUCAAAUAUCGUCAUUAUUGCCUUUCACUUGCACGACCGAACGAUUUGAAAAUAAUAAUAGUGCAAGAGUGCCAUGGACUAAGCUGGAAUCUGCAAACAUUUUAUUCAAAAGGAGAAGACAAGGUAAUAUGGGCUCUUUGUUAGAUCAACAAUAAUGCAUAUGAGAUCCACUCAACAUUUUCAUCGUGGUCUUCUCCUCGGCAUGACUCAAAAAACGGAAAAGAAAUUCAGAGAAACAAAAUAUUUUUGGAGUUUUUGGUUUUUCUAGAAGAAAGCAAAUAAACAAGAAAAGAAAAAACGUGGAAAACUAUUUGCACGGGAAAGCUCCCAACAAGCAAAAUAAGAACAAGGAAAUCUUUUGGGUUUUCUUUUGAAUACUACAAUUAACUGAGCUAGAAAGAAAAACCGAAAAGAAGGAGUAACUAUUUUUGGAUUUUCUCAAAGUUUUUCAAACACACAAGAAGAAAGCAAGAAAAUAAAUCUCGCAUGGAUAGUACAAUGAAAAAGUAUGGACACCGACAACUGGAAUGAAAAUGUAUGAACAUGAAUGUAAUGUCGGUGGAAAUACGUACUCCCCCAAGCUUAGGCUUUUGGCCAAACUUGUUAAUCACCGUCAGUAGCCUGCAUAGUGGUCAGAGUGGUAGCUCACGGAGGCUCUAGGUGCUGACGCUUCAGCCCGCCGUGCAGCCACAACUGCUGUGUUAUGUGCUCGGGCCUCGCUCUCAAGAACAUAAUAUCUUCCCCUGCUGUGAACAUCAAAGAGAGCAGGUGCAGGCAAAAAGGUGUCCACAACGGACCUUUUAUUAAACAACAGGUUAUAAGUAAAAUCAUGGGGUUCACCACUAAGGAUCUUAUGACGUUCCAUAGUAUCAAAAUCCAAGUACUGUGUGGGUAGGAUAGGAUCAUAAGGCCAAGGUGAAACACCCAACUCUCUUGCUAAGCGUGUGGCAUGAAUUUCACCAUAAAAAUUGUUAGGGAACGCAGUAUUUCAAAAAAAAAUCCUACGAUCACGCAAGAUCUAUCUAGGUGAUGCAUAGCAACGAGAGGGGAGAGUGUGUCCACGCACCCUCGUAGACCGAAAGCGGAAGCGUUAAGUAACGCGGUUGAUGUAGUCGAACGUCUUCGCGGUCCAACCGAUCAAGUACCGAACGCACGGCACCUUCGUGAUCUGCACACGUUUAGCUCGAUGACGUCCCUCGAACUCUAGAUCCAGCUGAGGCCGAGGGAGGGUUCCGUCAGCACGACGGCGUUGUGACGGUGAUGAUGAAGUUACCAGCACAGGGCUUCGCCUAAGCACUACGACGAUAUGACCGAGGUAGAAAACUAUGGAGGGGGGCGCCGCACACGGCUAGGAACAAUUGAUGUGUGUUCUAGGGGUGCCCACCCCACGUAUAUAAAGGAGGGAGAGGGAGGGAGGCAUCCUAGGGCGCGCCCAAGUAGGAGGAAUCCUACUUGGGCCCCUAGUCCAAUUCGCCCCCCCUAACCAUAUUUGGACAAGGGGGAAAGGAAGGAGGGGGGAGGGGAAGGAACUAGGAGUCCUACUUCAUACUUUCCUUUUCCUCCUCUCCUUUCCCAUUCUCCCCACGUGGCUGGCCCUAUAGGGGGUGCACCAGCCCCUUGUGGGCUGGUGUGUUCCCUUACUUGGCCCAUAAAGCCCAUAUCUUUGCUGGGGGUUGCUCGGAACCCCUUCCGGUGACCCGGUAUCACCCGGAACACUUCCGGUGUCGAAUAUAGCCAUCCAAUAUAUGAAUUUUUACCUCUCGACCAUUUCGAGACUCCUCGUCAUGUCCGUGAUCAAAUCCGGGACUCCGAACAAACUUCGGUCAUCAAAUCACAUAACUCGUAAUACAAAUCGUCAUCGAACGUUAAGCGUGUGGACCCUACAGGUUCGAGAACUAUGUAGACAUGACCGAGACACAUCUCCGGUCAAUAACCAAUAGUGGAACCUGGAUACUCAUAUUGGCUCCUACAUAUUCUACGUAGAUCUUUAUCGGUCAAACCGCAUAACAACAUACGUUGUUCCCUUUGUCAUCGGUAUGUUACUUACCCGAGAUUCGAUCGUCGGUAUCCUCAUACCUAGUUCAAUCUCGUUACCGGCAAGUCUCUUUACUCAUUCCGUAAUGCAUCAUCCCGCAACUAACUCAUUAGUCACAUUACUUGCAAGGCUUAUAGUGAUGUGCAUUACCGAGAGGGCCCAGAGAUACCUCUUCGAUAAACGGAGUGACAAAUCCUAAUCUCGAUCUAUGCCAACCCAACAAACACCUUCGGAGACACCUGUAGAGCAUCUUUAUAAUCACCCAGUUACGUAGUGACGUUUGAUAGCACACAAGGUGUUCCUCCAGUAUUCGGGAGUUGCAUAAUCUCAUAGUCAGAGGAACAUGUAUAAGUCAUGAAGAAAGCAAUAGCAAUAAAACUUAACGAUCAUAAUGCUAAGCUAACGGAUGGGUCUUGUCCAUCACAUCAUUCUCCUAAUGAUGUGACCCCUUUCAUCAAAUGACAACACAUGUCUAUGGUUAAGAAACAUAACCAUCUUUGAUAAACGAGCUAGUCAAGUAGAGGCAUACUAGGGACACUUAUGUUUUGUCUAUGUAUUCACACAUGUACUAAGUUUCCGGUUAAUACAAUUCUAGCAUGAAUAAUAAACAUUUAUCAUGAAAUAAGGAAAUAAAUAAUAACUUUAUUAUUGCCUCCAGGGCAUAUUUCCUUCAGUCUCCCACUUGCACUAGAGUCAAUAAUCUAGUUCACAUCGCCAUGUGAUUUAACAACAAUAGUUCACAUCACCAUGUGAUUAACACCCAUAGUUCACAUCACCAUGUGACCAACACUCAAAGGGUUUAGUAGAGUCAAUAAUCUAGUUCACAUCGCUAUGUGAUUAACACCCAAAGAGUGAUCAUGUUUUGCUUGUCAGAGAGAAGUUUAGUCAACGGGUCUGCCACAUUCAGAGCCAUAUGUAUUUUGCAAAUUUUCUAUGUAUACAAUGCUCUGCACGGAGCUACUCUAGCUAAUCGCUCCCUCUUUCAAUAUGUAUACAGAUUGAGACUUAGAGUCAUCCGGAUCAGUGUCAAACUUGCAUCGACGUAACACUUUAUGAUGAACUUUUUGUCACCUCCAUAACCGAGAAACAUGUCCUUAUUUCACUAAGGAUAAUUUUGACCAUUGUCCAGUGAUCCACUCCUGGAUCACUAUUGUACCCUCUUGCCAAACUCAUGGUGAGGUACACAAUAGAUCUGGUACACAACAUAGCAUACUUUAUAGAACCUAUGAGUGAGGCAUAGGGAAUGACUUUUCAUUCUCUUUCUUUUUUCUGCCGUGGUCGGGUUUUGUGUCUUUACUCAAUUUCACACCUUGCAAUACAGGCAAGAACUCCUUCUUUGACUGUUCCAUUUUGAACUACUUCAAAAUCUUGUCAAGGUAUGUACUCAUUGAAAAACUUAUCAAGCGUUUGAUCUAUCUCAAUAGAUCUUGAUGCUCAAUAUGUAAACAGAUUCACCGAGGUCUUUCUUUGAAAAACUCCUUUCAAACACUCCUUUAUGCUUUCCAGAAAAUUCUACAUCAUUUCCGAUCAACAAUAUGUCAUUCACAUAUACUUAUCAGAAAGGUUGUAGUGCUCCCACUCACUUUCUUGUAAAUACAGGCUUCACCGCAAGUCUGUAUAAAACUAUAUGCUUUGAUCAACUCAUCAAAGUGUAUAUUCCAACUCCGAGAUGCUUGCACCAGUCCAUAGAUGGAUCGCUGGAGCUUGCACACUUUGUUAGCACAUUUAGGAUUGACAAAACCUUCUUGUUGUAUCAUAUACAACUCUUCUUUAAGAAAUCUAUUAAGGAAUGCAGUUUUGACAUCCAUUUGCCAGAUUUCAUAAAACAUGGCAAUUGCUAACAUGAUUCAGACAGACUUAAGCAUCGAUACGAGUGAGAAAAUCUCAUCGUAGUCAAGACCUUGAACUUGUCGAAAACCGUUUGCGAAAAUUCGAGCUUUUGUAGAUAGUAACACUACUAUCAGUGUCCGUCUUCCUCUUGAAGAUCCAUUUAUUCUCAAUGGCUCGCUGAUACGUCUCCGUCGUAUCUACUUCCAAACAUUUUUGCCCUUGUUCUGGACUCUAACUUGCAUGAUUUGAAUGGAACUAACCCAGACUGACGCUGUUUUCAACAGACUUUCCAUGGUGUUAUUUAUGUGCAGAAACAAAAGUUCUCGGAAUGACCUGAAACUCCACGGAACAUCUAUUUGGAAAAUAAGAAAAAUACUGGAAGAAAAAUACACGUCAGGGGGGCCCACACCCUGUCCACGAGGGUGGGGGCGUGCCUACCCCCCUAGGGCGCGCCCCCCUACCUCGUGGGCCCCCUGACGCUCCACCGACCUCAACUCCAACUCCAUAUAUUCACUUUCGGGGAGAAAAAAAUCAGAGAGAAGGAUUCAUCGCGUUUUACGAUACGGAGCCGCCGCCAAGCCCUAAAACCUCUCGGGAGGGCUGAUCUGGAGUCCGUUCGGGGCUCCGGAGAGGGGGAUUCGUCACCGUCGUCAUCAUCAACCAUCCUCCAUCACCAAUUUCAUGAUGCUCACCGCCGUGCCUGAGUAAUUUCAUCGUAGGCUUGCUGGACGGUGAUGGGUUGGAUGAGAUCUAUCAUGUAAUCGAGUUAGUUUUGUUAGGGUUUGAUCCCUAGUAUCCACUAUGUUCUGAGAUUGAUGUUGUUAUGACUUUGCUAUGCUUAAUGAUUAUCACUAGGGCCCGAGUGCCAUGAUUUCAGAUCUGAACCUAUUGUUUUUUCAUGAAUAUAUGUGAGUUCUUGAUCCUAUCUUGCAAGUCUAUAGUCACCUACUAUGUGUUAUGAUCGGGUAACCCCGAAGUGACAAUAAUCGGGACCACUCCCGGUGAUGACCAUAGUUUGAGGAGUUCAUGUAUUCACUAUGUGCUAAUGCUUUGUUCCGGUUCUCUAUUAAAAGGAGGCCUUAAUAUCCCUUAGUUUCCAUUAGGACCCCGCUGCCACGGGAGGGUUGGACAAAAGAUGCCAUGCAAGUUCUUUUCCAUAAGCACGCAUGACUAUAUUCGGAAUACAUGCCUACAUUACAUUGAUGAAUUGGAGCUAGUUCUGUGUCACCCUAUGUUAUGAUUGUUACAUGAUGAACCGCAUCCGGCAUAAUUCUCCAUCACCGAUCCAAUGCCUACGAGCUUUUCAUAUAUUGUUCUUCGCUUAUUUACUUUUCCAUUGCUACUGUUACAAUCACUACAAAACACCAGAAAUAUUACUUUUGUUACCGUUACCACUACUAUCAUAUUACUUUGCUACUAAAUACUUUGUUGCAGAUACUAAGUUAUCCAGGUGUGGUUGAAUUGACAACUCAACUGCUAAUACUUGAGAAUAUUCUUUGGCUCCCCUUGUGUCGAAUCAAUAAAUUUGGGUUGAAUACUCUACCCUCGAAAACUGUUGCGAUCCCCUAUACUUGUGGGUUAUCAAGACUAUUUUCUGGCGCCGUUGCCGGGGACCAUAGCUCUAUUCUUUGAGUCACUUGGGAUUUAUAUCUGCUGGUCAUUAUGAAGAACUUGAAAGACGCUAAGACAACAAUUUAUCCCUCAACUACGAGGGGAGGUAAGGAACUGCCAUCUAGCUCUGCACUUGAUUCACCUUCUGUUUUGAGUAAGCUUGCGACACCUAAACCUGCUUCUGCUAUUCGUUCUGAUAUGUCGCAUGUUAUUGAUGAUGCCACUUCUGCUAUGCAUGAUACUUAUGAUGAAACUACUUCUACGCUUGAUACUACUGUGCCACUUAGUGAAUUUCUUGAUGAACAAAUGGUAGGGUUAGAGAGAAAGAAAUUAUUGAAACUGAUUAUAUAGAUGAAAGUGAUGAUGAAGACUCGCCUGUUAUUCCUGAGGGUUAUGUUUUUGAAAAAGAAGCUGCUUUAGCUAUUUUAGCUUGCAAAGAUAGAUAUGAGCUUAAGAGGUUAUUAGCUAAAUGGAGGCAGCAAUCUCUUAAUGCUAGAAUGAAACCUGACCCUGCUUUUGCUACUUCACCUAUCGGUGUUACUGAUAAGGAUUAUGAAUUCUCUGUUGAUCCUGAUAUAAUUACUUUGGUUGAAUCUGAUCCUUUUCAUGACUAUGAAUCUGAAAUUGUUGUGGCACAUCUUACUAAAUUAAAUGAUAUAGCCACCCUGUUCACUAAUGAUGAGAGAUCUCGCUACUUAUAUAUCCUUAAAAUAUUUCCGUUCAGAUUAAAGGGUGAUGCUAAGAUAUGGUUUAAUUCUCUUGAUCCUGGUUGUGUGCGUAGUCCCCAGGAUAUGAUUUAUUACUUCUCUGCUAAAUAUUUCCCUGCUCAUAAGAAGCAAGCUGCUUUGAGGGAAAUAUAUAAUUUUGUGCAAAUUGAAGAAGAGAGUCUCCCACAAGCUUGGGGGAGGCUUCUCAAGUUACUUAAUGCUUUGCCUGAUCAUCCUCUCAAGAAAAAUGAAAUACUUGAUAUCUUUUAUAAUGGACUAACCGAUGCUUCCAGAGAUUACCUGGAUAGUUGUGUUGGUUCUGUUUCAGGGAAAGAACACCGGAUGAAGCUGAAAAUCUAUUGAAUAAUAUGUUGACAAAUGAAAAUAAUUGGACACUUCCCGAGCCAGCUCCUGAGCCAAUUCCUAAACCAACUCCGAAGAAGAGGGGUGUUCUAUUUCUCAGUCCUGAAGAUAUGCAAGAGGCAAAGAAAUCUAUAAAGAAAAAGGUAUUAAAGCUGAAGAUGUUAAGAAUUUACCUCCUAUUGAAGAAAUACAUGGUCUUAAUUUACCGCCUGUCGAAGAAACAUAUGAUUUUAAUCCUCCACCUAUUGAAGAAACUCAUGGUCUUGAUAACCCGACACAGGUAGUAAAGGUAAAUUCUCUCUAUAGAUUUGAUGAAGGUGAUAUUCCUCACUAUAAGUCUGCUAGACAAUGCUUAGAAGAGUUUGAUAAUUUUAUUGUCAAACAAGAAAACUUCAAUGCUUAUGUUGGUAGACAAUUGAAAUACAAUUCCGAUAUGCUUGAACACUUGGGUAAUUAUAUGUCUAGAGUUAAAGGUGAACUUAAACUUAUUAGUAAACAUGCUUCUAUGGUUACCACUCAAGUAGAACAAGUACUUAAAGCUCAAAAUGAUUUUCUCAAUGAAAUGAAUAGUAAGAAAAAUGAUUAUGCUGUUAGAGUGGCUACUAGAACUGUUAAGAUGACUCAGGAACCUUUGUAUCCUGAAGGCCACCCUAAGAGAAUUGAGCAAGAUUCUCAGAGAAUUAAUAUUGAUGUACCUAGUCCUUCUAAAAAGAAGAAAAAGAAAAAUGAUAGGACUUUGCAUGCUUCUAGUGAACCUAUUGCUGAACCACCUGAGAAUCCAAAUGAUAUCUCUAUUUCUGAUGCUGAAACACAAUCUGGUAAUGAACAUGAACCUAGUGAAAAUGUUAAUGGUGAUGUUCAUGACGAUGCUCAACCUAGUAAUGAUAAUGAUGUAGAAAUUGAACCUGCUAUUGAUCUUGAUAACCCACAAUCAAAGAAUCAACAUUAUGAUAAGAGAGACUUUGUUGCUAGGAAACAUGGUAAAGAAAGGGAACCAUGGGUUCAGAAACCCAUGCCUUUUCCUCCCAAACCAUCCAAGAAAAAGGAUAAUGAGGAUUUUGAGCGCUUUGCUGAAAUGAUUAGACCUAUCUUUUUGCGUAUGCGAUUAACUAAUAUGCUCAAAAUGAAUCCUUAUGCUAAGUAUAUGAAAGAUAUUGUUACUAAUAAAAGAAAGAUACCGAAAGCUGAAAUUUCCACCAUGCUUGCUAAUUAUACUUUUAAGGGAGGAAUACCGAAGAAACUUGGAGAUCCAGGAGUACCCACUAUACCAUGCUCCAUUAAAAGAAACUAUGUUAAAACUGCUUUAUGUGAUCUUGGAGCCGGUGUUAGUGUUAUGCCUCUCUCUUUAUAUCGUUGACUUGAUUUGAAUAAGUUGACACCUACUGAAAUAUCUUUGCAAAUGGCUGAUAAAUCCACUGCUAUAUCUGUCGAUAUUUGUGAGGAUGUGCCUGUUGUAGUUGCAAACGUUACUAUUUUAACGGACUUUGUUAUUCUUGAUAUUCCCGAGGACGAUAGUAUGUCUAUUAUUCUUGGAAGACCUUUUUUGAAUACUGCAGGGGCUGUUAUUGAUUGCAACAAAGGCAAUGUCACUUUUCAUGUUAAUGGUAAUGAGCAUACGGUACACUUUCGGAGGAAACAACCUCAGGUCCACAGUAUCAAUUCUAUUGGAAAAAUUCCAUCGAUUAUUUUUGGAGGUUUUGAAUUUCCUCUACCUACUGUCAAGAAGAAAUAUGAUAUUCUUAUUAUAGGGGAUGUGCAUAUCCCCGUUGAGGUAACAUAGUGUUAUUCAAAAUUUCUCCGGUUUCAUGUUACUUCGAAUGAGUUUGUUAACAAGACUUGAUCAGCCUUGUUAAUGGAUUCCUUUUGAUGAGCAUGAGAUGGAUGAAACUAGAAGGCACAACCUUCUGUACCCUCUUUCUACUUUCUAUUAUUUAGUUGAAAUAAAGUAAAAAUAGUAUUUUCCUGUCUGUUUUCUGAUUUAUCCGUGCAAUAUAAAAAUAACCCAAAAAUAAAAGUUCUCCAAAUGCCCUGAAAAUGGAAUAUGAUUUUUUCUGGAAUAUUUGAGAAUAUCUGGCACUGAGAACACAGCAGGAGGGGCAAGCACCUGCCCACGAGGGUGGAGGGCGCGCCCUACCACCCCUGGGUGCGCCCCCUGCCUCGUGGGCCCACGGUGGGCCCCCUCCACUUAUUCCUGCACCCACACACUUCUUCUUCCUCCCAAAAACACCAAUAUCCAGCUCAAGCACGAGUUCUAGCUCAAUUUGCUGCGAUUUUCGAUCUCCUUGCUCAAAGCACCUCUCACAAAACUGCUUGGGGAGAUUGUUCCUUGGUAUGUGACUCCUCCAUUGGUCCAAUUAGUUUUUGUUCUAGUGCUCUAUUCAUUGCAAAUUUGUGCUGCCUAGGUGACCAUGUUCUUGAGCUUGCAUGUCAAAUUUAUAUGGUUCCAAGUAGUUCUAAUGCUUGAUAUAGUCUCUAGGCACUUGUAGGAGUAGUUGCUAUCAAUUUUGUUGAGCUUGGUUCACUUUUGUUUGAAGUUACUAAAAAUUUCAGAAAUUUUCAGAAAAUGAUGAAGAGAUUUUUGAGGGGCUCAUCGAGCCGAAGCUCAAAGGAAAAGCAGAAUGAAGAAGCACAGAGGCCCAAAUAUAAUUUGCCUCGCACUGCGGAGGUUCGGCCGUGUGAAUGGCCUUCCGAUGAUUUCUUGAGAGAAGCCGGGAUUUAUGAUGAUUUAUAUUCAUUGGCUAAGAAUGCAGGCCUCACCGACUUCCUCCGCGACCAACGUCAUCAGUAUCUCUUAUUCACCAAUACUUUUGUGCAAAACUUCUACUAUUAUCCUAAGGAAACACCUCCUUCAGUAGAGUUUCAUUUAUAUGAUGUUGUUAAGAAGAUGCCACUAGAUGAAUUUUGCAAGGUUUGCAAAAUACCCUUCGAGGGUACCUUAGAUGAACCACAUCGUAAAGACGUGGAUGGGUUUAUUGACACCAUUACUGUGGGGGAAACCAGGAAGGUUUCCGAUGCAAGAAUCACUAGCAUAAAUUUUCAUGUUUUACGCAACUUUGCCAUAUUUGCUAGUCGUUGCUUGAUUGGUCAUGAAAACUAUGGAAACCUUAGUGUUCCUGAUAUUAUCAUUUUGUUCCAUGGUUUAUUUUCCGAUAACACUGUUAGUAUGGGUGGUAUUAUUGCUAAACGGUUAAGUUUGAACCGUGCAAAGGGUCCCAUCUUUGGAGGUAUUUAUGCUUCACGCCUUGCUACAUAUUAUAAUAUACCUAUUAGGCAUUAUGAAAAAGAAGAAAAACUGCUGCCCACUGCUUAUUUAGAUUAUAAGAGUAUGGUAGCGCAUGAUUUCAUUGUUAAGAACAAGGAAGGGGAGCUUAAAUACAAAUUGUUCUUUGAUAAGCAUCACCCUGAGACUAUUAUCUUGCCUGCUCCUUCCUUGUUUAAUUUAUCUGCAGGCCCGUAUCUCAUUCCGUGGGCGGCCAUUUACGCUUACCGGAACCCUACACUAGCCACAGAGCCGGAACCACAAUUUGAGCCUCCAUGACAAUCUGAUUACUUUUGGGAUCCGGAGAUGACUGCCAGCCAGUGGCAAUCAGAGUCCUCUUCAUCUCAGUACGACCCCGGCUACAACUAUGGAUAUCCGCCAGGCCAUCCGUGGCAAUAAACCAACUUAGGCCAAAAGCCUAAGCUUGGGGGAGUACGUAUUUCCCACCGACAUUACAUUCAUGUUCAGACACUCAUUGUUAGAUGUCGGUGCUCAUACUCUUUCACUGUAAUAUCCAUGCUAGUUUAUUUUCCUUUUUCUUGCUUCUUCUUGUGUGUUUAAUAAACCUUAAGAAAAAACAAAAAAAAAAUUAGUUGUAGCUUUUUCUAGUUUACUUUUCUUGCUGUAGUAGUAAUAAGAAAGAAAAAAACCCAAAAAGAUUUCAUGUUCUUCUUUUGCUUGUUGGGAGCUUUCCCGUGUAAAUAGUUUUAUUUCCUUUCUUUUCUUUGGGGGUCGAUAGGAGAAGACCACAAUUAAAUUGUUGAAGUGGCUCUUAUAUGCAUUAUUGUUGAUUUAACCAAGAGCCCAUAUUGCCUUGUCUUCUCCUGUUUAUUGAAUGCUCGCAGAUCCCAGCUUAGUCCAAUGCACGUGCACUCUUAUUAUUUUCACAUCGUUCGGUCGUGCAAGUGAAAUGCAAUUAUGACGAUAUAUGAUGGACCGACUGAAAUGAGAAAAGUUGGUAUGAACUCGACCUCUCUUGUUUUUGUAAAUAUGAUUAGUUCAUCAUUCCUGAUUCAGCCUAUUAUGAAUAAACAUGUUUUCAAUGACAAUUAGAGAUCAUAGUUGCUUGUGCCAUGCUUGAUUAGCUAUGAGUUAUAAUGGUUUACCUUGCAUGCCAACAUGCUAUUAAAAUGGUUGUGAUGUGGUAUAGUGGGGUGGUAUCCUCCUUUGAAUGAAUUAAGUGACUCGACUUGGCACAUGUUCACACAUGUAGUUGAAACAAAUCAACAUAGCCUUCACGAUAUUUAUGUUCAUGGUGGAUUAUAUCCUACUCAUGCUUGUACUCAAUGUUUAUUAAUUUUAAUGCAUGUUCAUGACUAUUGUCGCUCUCUAGUUGGUCGCUUCCCAGUCUUUUGCUAGCCUUCACUUGUACUAAGCGGGAAUACUGCUUGUGCAUCCAAUCCCUUAAACCCCAAAGUUAUUCCAUAUGAGUCCACCAUACCUUCCUAUAUGCGGUAUCUACCUGCCGUUCCAAGUAAAUUUGUAUAUGUGCCAAACUCUAAACCUUCAAAUGAAAUUCUGUUUUGUAUGCUCGAAUAGCUCAUGUAUCAACUAGGGCUGCCCUUAUCUUCCAUGCUAUGCGGGUUAUUCUCAAGAGGAGUGGACUCCGCUCCUCACUCACGAGAAAAUGGCUGGUCACCGGGAUGCCCAGUCCCAUGCUUUAUGCAAACUAAAUCAAAAUAAUUGCAAACAAAACUCCCCCUGGGACUGUUGCUAGUUGGAGGCACUCGUUGUUUUGAGCAAGCCAUGGAUUGAUGCUUGUUGGUGGAGGGGGAGUAUAAACUUUACCAUUCCGUUUGGGAACCGCUUAUAAUGUGUGUAGCAUGGAAGAUAUCGCCAUCUCUUGGUUGUUAUGUUGACAAUGAAAUUAUGCCGCUCAAAAUAUUAUUUACCUCUAUUUCAAAACCGAGCUCUGGCACCUCUACAAAUCCCUGCUUCCCUCUGCGAAGGGCCUAUCUAUUUACUUUUAUGUUGAGUCAUCACCCUCUUAUUAAAAAGCACUAGCUGGAGAGCACAACUGUCAUUUGCAUCCAUUACUAUUAAUUUAUAUUGGGUAUGACUAUGACUGGAUCUCUUUUACCAUGAAUUACAAUGUCUAGUCAGUCCUUGAUCUUUAAAGGUGCUCUGCAUUUAUGUUUUGCGGUCUCAGAAAGGGCUAGCGAGAUACCAUCCUAUUAUAUCAUAUCAUGAUUGUUUUAAGAAAGUGUUGUCAUCCGAGAUUUAUUAUUAUGGCUCGCUAGUUGAUUAUGCUAUUGAUAUGAGUAAACAUGAGACCUAAGAGUUAUUGCAAAUGUGGUUAGUCAUAAUCUUUGCUAAAAACUUGAAUGCUGUCUUUACAUAUUUACAACAACAAGAGCAAACAGAGUUUGUAAAAGUUUUUCUUUAUCACUUUCAGCUUAUCAACUGAAUUGCUUGAGGACAAGCAAAGGUUUAAGCUAGGGGAGUUGAUACGUAUCUGUCGUAUCUACUUUUCCAAACACUUUUGACCUUGUUUUGGACUCUAACUUGCAUGAUUUGAAUGGAACUAACCCGGACUGACGCUGUUUUCAGCAGACUUUCCAUGGUGUUAUUUAUGUGCAGAAACAAAAGUUCUCAGAAUGACCUGAAACUCCACGGAACAUCUAUUUGGAAAAUAAGAAAAAUACUGGAAGAAAAAUCCACGUCAGGGGGCCCACACCAUGUCCACGAGGGUGGGGGCACACCUACCCCCUAGGGCACGCCCCUACCUCAUGGGCCCCCUGACGCUCCACCGACCUCAACUCCAACUCCAUAUAUUCACUUUCGGGGAGAAAAAUAUCAGAGAGAAGGAUUCAUCGCGUUUUACGAUACGGAGCCACCGCCAAGCCCUAAAACCUCUCGGGAGGGCUGAUCUGGAGUCCGUUCGGGGCUCUGUAGAGGGGGAUUCGUCGCCGUCGUCAUCAUAAACCAUCCUCCAUCACCAAUUUCAUGAUGCUCACCGCCGUGCGUGAGUAAUUCCAUCGUAGGCUUGCUGGACGGUGAUGGGUUGGAUGAGAUCUAUCAUGUAAUCGAGUUAGUUUUGUUAGGGUUUGAUCCCUAGUAUCCACUAUGUUCUGAGAUUGAUGUUGUUAUGACUUUGCUAUGCUUAAUGAUUAUCACUAGGGCCCGAGUGCCAUGAUUUCAGAUCUGAACCUAUUAUUUUUUCAUGAAUAUAUGUGAGUUCUUGAUUCUAUCUUGCAAGUCUAUAGUCACCUACUAUGUGUUAUGAUCGGGUAACCCCGAAGUGACAAUAAUCGGGACCACUCCCGGUGAUGACCAUAGUUUGAGGAGUUCAUGUAUUCACUAUGUGCUAAUGCUUUGUUCCGGUUCUCUAUUAAAAGGAGGCCUUAAUAUCCCUUAGUUUCCAUUAGGACCCCGCUGCCACGGGAGGGUUGGACAAAAGAUGCCAUGCAAGUUCUUUUCCAUAAGCACGCAUGACUAUAUUCGGAAUACAUGCCUACAUUACAUUGAUGAAUUGGAGCUAGUUCUGUGUCACCCUAUGUUAUGAUUGUUACAUGAUGAACCGCAUCCGGCAUAAUUCUCCAUCACCGAUCCAAUGCCUACGAGCUUUUCAUAUAUUGUUCUUCGCUUAUUUACUUUUCCGUUGCUACUGUUACAAUCACUACAAAACACCAAAAAUAUUACUUUUGUUACCGUUACCACUACUAUCAUAUUACUUUGCUACUAAAUACUUUGCUGCAGAUACUAAGUUAUCCAGGUGUGGUUGAAUUGACAACUCAACUGCUAAAACUUGAGAAUAUUCUUUGGAUCCCCUUGUGUCGAAUCAAUAAAUUUGGGUUGAAUACUCUACCCUCGAAAACUGUUGCGGUCCCCUAUACUUGUGGGUGAUCACUCGCCGAUCAUCAGGCAAGUCAAUCAAAGUCCAUACUUUGUUUUCAUACAUGGAUCCCAUCUACGAUUACAUGGCCUCAAGCCAUUUCGCGGAAUCUGGGCUCAUCAUCGCUUCCUCAUAGUUCGUAGGUUCGUCAUGGUCUAGUAACAUGACUUCCAGAACAGGAUUACCGUACCACUCUGGUGCGGACCAUACUCUGGUUGACCUACGAGGUUCGGCAGCAACUUGAUCUGAAGUUUCAUGAUCAGCAUCAUUAACUUCCUCACUAAUUGGUGUAGGCAUCACUGGAACUGAUUUCUGUGAUGGACUACUUUCCAAUUGGGGAGAAGGUACAGUUACCUCAUCAAGUUCUACUUUCCUCCCACUCACUUCUUUCGAGAGAAAAUCCUUCUCUAGAAAGGAUCCAUUCUUAGCAACGAAUAUCUUGCCUUCAGAUCUGUGAUAGAAGGUGUACCCAACAGUCUCCUUUGGGUAUACUAUGAAGACGCAUUUCUCCGAUUUGGGUUCGAGCUUAUCAGGUUGAAGCUUUUUCACAUAAGCAUCAUAGCCCCAAACUUUAAGAAACGACAGCUUAGGUUUCUUGUUAAACCACAGUUCAUGCGGUGUUGUCUCAACGGAUUAGAUGGUGCCCCAUUUAACGUGAAUGCUGCUGUCUCUAAUGCAUAAUCCCAAAACGAUAGUGGUAAAUCGAUAAGAGACAUCAUAGAUCGCACCAUAUCCAAUAAAGUACGGUUACGACGUUCGGACACACCAUUACGCUGCGGUGUUCCAGGUGGCGUGAGUUGUGAAACAAUUCCGCAUUGUUUCAAAUGAAGACCAAACUCAUAACUCAAAUAUUCACCUCCACGAUCAGAUCAUAGAAACUUUAUUUUCUUGUUACAAUGAUUUUCCACUUCACUCUGAAAUUCUUUGAACUUUUCAAAUGUUUCAGACUUUUGUUUCAUCAAGUAGAUAUAUCCAUAUCUGCUCAAAUCAUCUGUGAAGGUCAGAAAAUAACGAUACCUGCCGUGAGCCUCAACACUCAUCGGACCACAUACAUCAGUAUGUAUUAUUUCCAACAAGUCUGUUGCUCGCUCCAUUGUUCCGGAGAACGGAGUCUUAGUCAUCUUGCCGAUGAGACAUGGUUCGCAAGCAUGAAGUGAUUCAUAAUCAAGUGAUUCCAAAAGCCCAUCAUCAUGGAGUUUCUUCAUGCGCUUUACACCAAUAUGACCUAAAUGGCAGUGCCACAAAUAAGUUGCACUAUCAUUAUUAACCUUGCAUCUUUUGGCUUCAAUAUUAUGAAUAUGUGUAUCACUACGAUCGAGAUUCAAUCAACCAUUUAUAUUAAGUGUAUGACCAUAGAAGGUUUUAUUCAUGUAAACAGAACAACAAUUAUUCUUUGACUUGAACGAAUAACCGUAUUGCAAUAAACAUGAUCUAAUCAUAUUCAUGCUCAACGCAAACACCAAAUAACAUUUAUUUUAGGUUCAACAUUAAUCCCGAAGGUAAAAGGAGUGUGCGAUGGUGAUCUUAUCAACCUUGGAAUCAUUUCCAAUACACAUCGUCACCUCGUCCUUAACUAAUCUCUGUUUAUCUUGCAACUCCUGUUUCUAGUUACUACUCUUAGCAACUGAACCAGUAACAAAUACCGAGGGGUUGCUAUAAACACUAGUAAAGUACACAUCAAUAACAUGUAUAUUAAAUAUACCUUUGUUCACUUUGCCAUCCUUCUUAUCCGCCAAGUAUCUAGGGUAGUUCCGCUUCCAGUGACCAUUUCCUUUGCAGCAGAAGCACUCAGUUUCAGGCUUGGGUCUAGCUUUGGGUUUCUUCAUGGGAGUGGCAACUUGCUUGCCAUUCUUCUUGAAGUUCCCUUUCUUUUCCUUUGCCCUUUUACUUGAAACUAGUGGUCUUGUCAACCAUCAACACUUGAUGCUUUUUCUUGAUUUCUACCUUCGCCGAUUUCAGCAUCGCGAAGAGCUCGGGAAUCGUUUUCGUCAUCCAUUGCAUAUUAUAGUUCAUCACGAAGUUCUAGUAGCUUGGUGAUAGUGACUAGAGAACACUAUCAAUCACUAUAUUAUCUGGAAGAUUAACUCCCACUUGAUUCAAGCGAUUUUAGUACCCAAACAAUCUGAGCACAAGCUCACUGGUUGAGCUAUUCUCCUCCAUCUUGUAGGCAAAGUACUGUCAGAGGUCUCAUACCUCUCGACACGGGCAUGAGUCUGAAAUAUUAAUUUCAACUCUUGGAAUAUCUCAUAUGCUCCAUGGCGUUCAAAACGUUUUUGAAGUCCCGGUUUCAAGCCGUAAAGCAUGGUGCACUAAACUAUCAAGUAGUCAUCAUAUCGAGCUUGCCAAACGUUCAUAACGUCUGCAUAUACUCCUACAAUAGGUCUGUCACCUAGCGGUGCAUCAAGGACAUAAUUCUUCUGUGCAGCAAUGAGGAUAAUCCUCAGAUCACGGACCUAGUCCGCAUCAUUGCUACUAUCAUCUUUCAACUUAGUUUUCUCUAGGAACAUAUCAAAAAAAAAUAGGGGAGCUAUACGCGAGCUAUUGAUCUACAACAUAGAUAUGCAAAUACUACCAGGACUAAGUUCAUGAUAAAUUAAUGUUUAAUUAAUCAUAUUACUUAAGAACUCCCACUUAGAUUGACAGCCCUUUAGUCAUCUAAAUGAUCACGUGAUCCAAAUCAACUAAACCAUGUCUGAUCAUCACGUGAGAUGGAGUAGUUUUCAAUGGUGAACAUCACUAUGUUGAUCAUAUCUACUAUAUGAUUCACGCUCGACCUUUCGGUCUUAGUGUUCCGAGGCCAUAUCUGCAUAUGCUAGGCUCGACAAGUUUAACCCGAGUAUUCUGCUUGUGCAAAAUUGGCUUGCACCCUUUGUAUGUGAACAUAGAGCUUAUCACACCCGAUCAUCACGUGGUGUCUCGGCACGACGAACUGUCGCAACGGUGCAUACUCAGGGAGAACACUUGUACCUUGAAAUUUAGUAAGGGGUCAUCUUAUAAUGCUACCGCCAUACUAAGCAAAAUAAGAUGCAUAAAGGAUAAACAUCACAUGCAAUCAAUAUAAGUGAUAUGAUAUGGCCAUCAUCAUCUUGUGCCUUUGAUCUCCAUCUCCAAAGCACCGUCAUGAUCACCAUCGUCACCGGCUUGACACCUUGAUCUCCAUCGAAUCAUCUUUGUCAUCUCGCCAACUAUUGCUUCUACGACUAUCGCUACCGCUUAGUGAUAAAGUAAAGCAAUUACAUGGCGAUUGCAUUUCAUACAAUAAAGCGACAACCAUAAGGCUCCUGCCAGCUGCCGAUAACUUUUACAAAACAUGAUCAUCUCAAACAACAAUUUAUAUAUCAUCACGUCUUGACCAUAUCACAUCACAACACGCCCUGCAAAAACAAGUUAUAGACAUCCUCUACUUUGUUGUUGCAAGUUUUACGUGGCUGCUACGGGCUUAGCAAGAACCGUUCUUACCUAUGGAUCAAAACCACAAUGAUUUUUCGUCAAGUGUGUUGUUUUAACCUUCAACAAGGACCGGGCGUAGUCACACUCGAUUCAACUAAAGCUGGAGAAACAGACACCCGCUAGCCACCUGUGUGCGAACCACGUCGGUAGAACCAGUCUCAUGAACGCGGUCAUGUAAUGUCGGUCUGGGCCGCUUCAACCAACAAUACCGCCGAAUCAAAGUAUGACAUGCUGGUAAGCAGUAUGACUAUUAUCGCCCACAACUCUUUGUGUUCUACUCAUGCAUAUAACAUCUACGCAUAGACCUGGCUCGGAUGCCACUGUUAGGGAACGCAGUAUUUCAAAAAAAUUCCUACGAUCACACAAGAUCUAUCUAUGUGAUGCAUAGCAACGAGAGGGGAGAGUGUGUCCACAUACCCUCGUAGACCGAAAGCGGAAGCGUUAAGUAACGCGGUUGAUGUAGUCGAACGUCUUCACGAUCCAACCGAUCAAGUACCGAACGCACGGCACCUCCGCGAUCUGCACACGUUUAGCUCGGUGACGUCCCUCGAACUCUAUAUCCAGCUGAGGCCGAGGGAGAGUUCCGUCAGCACGACGGCGUGGUGACGGUGAUGAUGAAGUUACCGGCGCAGGGCUUCGCCUAAGCACUACGACGAUAUGACCGAGGUAGAAAACUGUGGAGGGGGGUGCCGCACACGGCUAGGAACAAUUGAUGUGUGUUCUAGGGGUGCCCUCCCCACGUAUAUAAAGGAGGGAGAGGGAGGGAGGCAUCCUAGGGCACGCCCAAGUAGGAGGAAUCCUACUUGGGCCCCUAGUCCAAUUCAGCCCCCCCUUACCAUAUUUGGACAAGGGGGAAGGAAGUAGGAGUCCUACUUCAUACUUUCCUUUUCCUCCUCUCCUUUCCUUUUCUCCCCACGUGGUUGGCCCUAUAGGGGGCGCACCAGCCCCUUGUGGGCUGGUGUGUUCCCUUACUUGGCCCAUAAAGCCCAUUCUUUGCCGGGGGUUGCCCGGAACCCCUUCCGGUGACCCGGUAUCACUCGGAACACUUCCGGUGUCCGAAUAUAGUCUUCCCAUAUAUGAAUCUUUACCUCUCGACCAUUUCGAGACUCCUCGUCAUGUCCGUGAUCUCAUCCGGGACUCCGAACAAACUUCGGUCAUCAAAUCACAUAACUCAUAAUACAAAUCGUCAUCGAACGUUAAGCGUGCGGACCCUACGGGUUCAAGAACUAUGUAGACAUGACCGAGACACAUCUCCGGUCAAUAACCAAUAGCAGAACCUGGAUACUCAUAUUGGCUCCUACAUAUUCUACGAAGAUCUUUAUCGGUCAAACCACAUAACAACAUACAUUGUUCCCUUUGUCAUCGGUAUGCUACUUGCCCGUGAUUCGAUCGUCGGUAUCCUCAUACCUAGUUCAAUCUCGUUACCGGCAAGUCUCUUUACUCGUUCCGUAAUGCAUCAUCCCUCAACUAACUCAUUAGUCACAUUGCCUGCAAGGCUUAUAGUGAUGUGCAUUACCGAGAGGGCCCAGAGAUACCUCUCCGAUAAACGGAGUGACAAAUCCUAAUCUCGAUCUAUGCCAACCCAACAAACACCUUCGGAGACACCUGUAGAGCAUCUUUAUAAUCACCCAGUACGUUGUGACGUUUGAUAGCACACAAGGUGUUCCUCCGGUAUUCGGGAGUUGCAUAAUCUCAUAGUGAGAGGAACAUGUAUAAGUCAUGAAGAAAGCAAUAGCAAUAAAACUUAACGAUCAUAAUGCUAAGCUAACAAAUGGGUCUUGUCCAUCACAUCAUUCUCCUAAUGAUUUGACCCCGUUCAUCAAAUGACAACACAUGUCUAUGGUUAGGAAACAUAACCAUCUUUGAUAAACGAGCUAGUCAAGUAGAGGCAUUCUAGGGACACUUAUGUUUUGUCUAUGUAUUCACACAUGUACUAAGUUUCCGAUUAAUACAAUUCUAGCAUGAAUAAUAAGCAUUUAUCAUGAAAUAAGGAAAUAAAUAAUAACUUUAUUAUUGCCUCUAGGGCAUAUUUCCUUCAAAAAUAUCCGCUACCAGCUUUGUGUUGCAACCAGGGUGCAACAAUCGCUCCAAGGUUGUAACUUUUGUCACCGAUGAAAGCGGUGCGUAUGAGGCUCAAGUCUGGAGCACAUAGUGUACUACAAUCUUGUUUGCCUACAAUGCAUUUCCAUUAAAUAGUGCAAAGUAUUGAAUUGAGGGAAAAUGAAUGCUCUUUAUUCUACCUUGUGUCACUCCUCUAGUCUCCCCAUAGUAAAGACUAGUCAAGUAUAUCUCAAACUCAGACCUUGGUGGUUCAUCUAACGAACCCCAAAAUGGAAUUUUGUAGUAGUUAGAAAAUGUCUCUAAGGGUAGAGUGAAAGGAUAGUCGUACAGUUUAAACGACACUUUAGACUCACGUGGGUGGAAUUUAAAUUCUUAAGUAAAUGAUGCAGUGAGGCUGAGGUGUUGGUUGCACUUAUCUGCAAUGUAGGGACCGAGCUCGGCAUUGUGAACAUAUCGCUUGAAUUCUUCCUUAAUGCCCACACGCACCAUAUAAUCGUUGCAUGGCCAUAAACAUGAUUUGGUGGCGGCAUCUCGUAUGGAAUUUUCACUUGGUUCAACAUAAGACCAGCGAACGAAGCUGCUACUAGAAGAUCCCUCUGAGGACCUCCUCCUCAAAGAACUCCUCCCAAAGAGGUUCAUCAUAUUUGCGUACAAUUUUCUGAAAAAGUUUGGGUCACAAAAUUUAUCAACAAAAAUUCACAAUAAUGAUAGCAACUACUCAUAGAGAUGCAUAGAGGCCAUAUCAAGCAUUCAAACUACUUAGAACUCUAAGAAUUCAACAUGCAAGCUCAUCUACAGCAGCACCAAGAGUAACUAAUUAUUCAAAAUAUAAACUACUAAAGUAAAAACUAAUUUGACCAAUGGAGGAGUCACAUAGCAAGCAACAAUCCCCCGAAACAGUUUCAGAAACGGAGCUUCGAGCAAAGAGAUCAAAAUCCGCAGAUUUGAGAGCAAGAACACGAGAGAGAGAGAGAGAGAGAGAGAGAGAGAGAGCAAUGGUGAUUUUUUUUCUGGAGGUAGGUGGUGAUAUGGGAUGAAGAGAUAAGUGAGGGGGCCCAUGUGGGGAACACAAACCACCAGGGCGCGCCUGGGGGUGCUGGUACGCCCAGGUGGGGUGUGCCCACCUGGUGCACCUCCUCUGAUGUUAUUUGAAUGAAAAAUUCAGAAAAAAACAUAUUAAUUUUUCAGAGCAUUCUGAGAACGUUUAUUUUUUGGUCAUUUUUUAUUGCACGGGAAAUUCAGAAAACAGACAAAACAUGGCAUUUUAUUUACUUUGACUAAGUAAAACAGAAAACAAAAGGUAGGGAUAGAAGGUAGUGCUUACUAAAUUCAUCAACUUCAUACCUUUCAAAAAUGAUUCAUUAAUAAGGUUGAUCAAGUCUUAUUAACAACCACUUCUGAUUAGCAUGAAACCGAAGAACUUUCGUAAAACACUAAGUUACCUCAACGGGGAUAUGAAUGUCCCCAACAAUAAGCAUUUCAUAUUUCUUUUUAACAGUAGGUAGAGGUAGUUGAAAACUUCCAAUAGUGAUUAUCGGAGAUUUUUCAAUAACAUUAAUACCAUUCACUUGGAAUUGCUUCUUCGGAAAGUGCACCGUAUGCUCAUUACCAUUGAUAUAAAAAGUGACCUUGCUUUUAUUGCGAUCAAUAACAGCCCCUACAGUAUUCAAGAAGGGUCUAUCAAGGAUAAUCGGCAUGUUGUCGUCCUCGGGCAUCUCAAGUAUAACAAAGUUAGAUAAGAUAGUAACAUUAGCAACAACAACGGGCACAUCCUCACAAAUACUGAUAGGUAUGACGGUUGAUUUGUCAGCCAUUUGCAAAGAUAUUUCAGUAGGUGUGAGUUUAUUCAAAUCAAGUCUUUUAUAUAAAGAGAAAGGCAUAACACUAACACCAGCUACUAAAUCACAUAAAGCAGUUUUCACAUAAUUUCUUUUGAUGGAGCAAGGUAUAGUUGGUAUUCACAGAUCUCCAAGUUUUUUAAGUACUCCAUCCUUAAAAGUAUAAUUAGCAAGGUACUUUGCGUAAGGAGGCAUCUUUAAGAUAUGACUCAAGCGGGUACGCAAAAAUACUGGCCUAAGCAUUUCAGCAAAGCAUUCAAAUUCUUCAUCGUCUUUCUUUUUAGUUGACUUAGGCGGAAAGGGCAUAGGUUUUUGAACCCCUGGUUCUCUUUCCUUACCAUGUUUUCUAGCAACAAAGCCCAUGUUAUCAUAUCUUUUAUUCUUGGGUUGUGGGUUAUCAAGAUCAACAACCGGUUCUAUUUCAACAUCAUUAUCUGGUUCUUUAUUAUUUGUUUGAGUAUCUUCAUGAACCUCAUCAUUAUCCUUUUCAUUAUCAGAGGGUGAGUGUUCAUUACCAUAUUGAGUUUCAGCAUCAGAAAUAGAAACAUCAUUAUCAUUGUCAGGAGGUUUUUCUACUUCAAGUUCACUAGAGGCAUGCAAAGUCCUACUAUUUUUCUUCUUCUUUUUCUUUUCGGAAGGACUAGGUGCAUCGGUGUUAAUACUUUGAGGGUCUUGUUCAAUUCAUUUAGGGUGUCCCUCAGGAUAAAGUGGUUCCUGAGUCAUUUUACCUCCUCUAGUUGCUACUCUAACAGCAAAGUCAAUUAUAUUAUUGUUCAUUUCAUUGAGCAAUUCUCUUUGGGAUUUAGCAACUUGUUCUAGUUGAGUUUGAACCAUAGAGGCAUGCUUUCCUACACCUCUAACAUCAUUGGUAAUUCUAAAUAACAAGUCACUCAAACGAGAAAUCAUAUCAGAAUUGUGUUUCAGUUGUUUCAUAACAUUUGCAUUGAAGUGAUCUUGUUUUCUAAUGUAGUUAUCAAACUCAUAAAGGCAUUGACUAGGAUGCAUAUUAUAAGGAUUAUCAUUGUCAUUGAAUUUCAUUAAAGAAUUUACCUCUACCACCUUAGGCAGUGGUGGUGUUUCAAGCCCAUGUAUUUCUUCAAUAGGAGGUAAAUUUUUGACAUCCUCGGCUUUAAUACCUUUUUCAUUCAUAGAUUUCUUUGCCUCUUGCAUAUCUUCAGGACUGAGAUAUAAGAUACCCCUCUUCUUCGGAGUAGGUUUAAGCGGUGGUUCAGGAAGAGUCCAAUCAUCAUAAUUUUUCAAUAUAUUAUUCAAUAGUUCUUCAGCUUGUCCAAUAGUUCGUUCCCUAAAAACACAACCGGCACAACUAUCUAGGAAAUCCUUAGAAGCAUCGGUUAGUCCAUUAUAGAAGAUAUCCAGUAUUUCAGUUUUCUUAAGAGGAUGAUCAGGCAAAGCAUUAAGCAAUUGGAUAAGCCUCCCCCAAGCUUGUGGGAGACUCUCUUCUUCAAUUUGCACGAAGUUAAAUAUUUCAUGUAAGGCAGCUUGUUUCUUAUGAGCGGGAAAAUAUUUUCCAGAGAAGUAAUAAAUCAUAUCCUGGGGACUACGCACACAACCAGGAGCAAGUGUAUUAUACCAAGUCUUAGCAUCCCCCUUUAAUGAUAAUGGGAAUAAUUUGAGAAUGUAAUAAUAGCGAAUCUUCUCAUCAUGAGCAAAAAGGGUGGCUAUGUCAUUCAACUUAGUAAGAUGUGGCACAACAGUUUCAGUUUCAUAACCAUGGAAAGGAUCAGAUUCAACCAAAGUAAUUAACUCUGGGUUGACAGAGAAUUCAUAUCCUUAUCAUCAGCAAAGAUAGGUGAAGUAGCAAACUUAGGAUCACAUUUCAUUCUAGCAUUCAAAGAUUUUUCUUUCAGUUUGCAUAAUAAUUUCUUAAAUCAUCCCUAUCAUUGCAAGCAAGAAAGUCUCUAGUUGUCUCCUCAUUCAUAACAUGGUAUCUUAGGCAAUUCAUAUCUAGGAGAACUAGAUCUAAUAGGUGUUUCAAGAUUUUCAGUUUCAAGCUCUUCAUCAGUUUCAAUAAUUUCAUCAGUUUCAACAUUCACAAAAGCUUUAGUUCUAGCAAUUUGUUCAUCAAGAAAUUCACGUAGUAUCACAUUAUCAUCAAGCAAGGUACUAGCAUCAUCAUGAGUAUCAUUCAUAGCAGAAGUAGCAUCAUCAAUGACUUGCAACAUGUCAGGAUUAAUAACAUGUGGUGGUGAAUCAAGUGCAGAGCUAGAUGGCAGUUCCUUACCUCCCCUUGUCUUAGAGGGAAAAAUCUUAGUCUUGGCACCCUUCAGAUUCUUCAUAGAGAUAAUUUGAUAAUAAUCCCAAGUGACUCAGAAAAUAUAGCUAUGCUCCCCGGCAGCGGCGCCAGAAAAAGUUCUUGAUAACCCACAAGUAUAGGGGAUCACAACAGUUUUCGAGGGUAGAGUAUUCAACCCAAAUUUAUUGAUUCGACACAAGGGGAGCCAAAGAAUAUUUGCAAGUAUUAGCAGUUGAGCUGUCAAUUCAACCACACUUGGAGAUUAAUUAUCUGCAGUAGAGUGAUCAGUAGCAAAGUAGUAUGAUAGUUUUGAUAGUAGUAGCAACAGCAAUAAUAACGGUAACAGUAGUAGCGGUGAUUUUGUAGCAAGUGUAACAAUAACAAUAGUAGUAGUAACUUAGCAGGAACAAUAUGAGAGAAAUGUGUAGCCACUGGAUCGGUGAAUUCAUUGGAUGAUAUUCAUCAUAUAACAGUCAUAACCUAGGGCAGUACGGCUCUAGCUCCAGUUCAUAAAUAUAAUGUAGGCAUGUAUUCCGUAAAUAGUCAUACAUGCUUAUGGAAAGAACUUGCAUGACAUCUUUUGUCCUACCCUCCCGUGGCAGCGGGGUCCUAUUGGAAACUAAGGAAUAUUAAGGCCUCCUUUUAAAAGAGAACCGUAACAAAGCAUUAACACAUAGUGAAUACAUGAACUCCUCAAACUACGGUCAUCACCGGGAAGUGUCCCGACUUCUGUCACUCUGGGUUUGCCGGAUCAUAACACGUAGUAGGUGACAAUAACUUGCAAGAUCGGAUCUAGAACAUAGAUAUAAUGGUGAUAACAUAAACGGUUCAGAUAUGAAAUCAUGGCACCCGGGCCCAAAGUGACAAGCAUUAAGCAUGGAAAAACCAUAGCAACAUCAUUCUCAGAAUAUAAUGGAUACUAGGGAGCAAGCCCUAACAAAACUAACUCGAUUACAUGAUGAAUCUCAUCCAACUCCUCACUGACCAGCGAGCCUACGAAGGAAUUACUCACUCCCGGUGGGGAGCAUCAUGGAAUUAACGAUGGAGAAGGGUUGGUGAUGACGAAGAUCGAAGAUCCCCCUCUCCGGAGCCCCAAACGGACUCCAGAUCUGGCCUCCCGAUGAAGAACAGGAGGUGGCGGAGGCUCCGUCUCGUGAAACGCGAUAAUUCUUUCUCCUUGAUUCUUUUUCCCAGAACAUGUGAAUUUAUAGUAUCAGGGUUGAAGUCUGUGGGGCCACCAGGUGGGGACAACCCACCUGAGCACGCCCUUCUGCACAAAAACAACACCAUGGUAGUUCUACUGAAAACAGCGUCAGUCCGGGUUAGUUUCAUUCAAAUCAUGCAAAUUAGAGUCCAAAACAAGAGGAAAACGUUAGGAAAAGUAGAUACAACGGAGAGUAUCAAGGAAGAUGGCAAGGAACCAAGAUGCGGCGGCCGAGGAGAGGAGGGUGGCGGCCGAGGAGAGGAAGGUGGCAUUGGAGGAGAAGAAAUUGGCCAUGGAGGAGCAAACUAGAAUGUUGGAAUGGAGAAGUACUUGUUCUACAUGGACACAUCUACUCUCGAUGAGAAGCAAAAGGAGUACGUCAAUCUUGCCCAUGAAGAAGUUUUGCUCCAAAAAAGAGCCAUGGCCAUGGGAGGCAUGGGAGGCAUGGGAGCACCUAUGGGAGGCAUGGGUGGCAUGGGAGGCAUGGCUACCAUGGGAGGCAUGGGUGGCUUCGGAGCUACCAUGGGCGGCAUGGGAGACAUGGGUGGCUUCGGAGCUACCAUGGGGGCAUGGGAGGCAUGGGUGGCUUCGAAGCUACCAUGGGAGUCAUGAGUUUUGCGUGUCUUAUGGGAGACAUGGGAGCACCUCCGGGUGACAUGGGUGGAUGCAUGUCUUCCGGUGUGCCUCCUCACAUACUUUCGCAUGAUGCCGUUGAAGAUCUUGCCAACACCUUCCGAGCUCCCCAUGAUGAUGCGGCACACAACAAUAAAGAGGAGGAGGAAGAAUUGUCUUCGGAUGAGGAUGAAGAACCGGAAGAAGAGGAGGACGAGGAUGAGGAUGCGGCAUGAUAGUUGAUGUGCCAUUUGUUUGUGUGAACUUUUAUGUCAUGAACUUGUUUGGGUGAUUUUGAGAACUUGGUUGGAUGAUGAUGUGGCAUGAUUGUUGAUGUGCCGUGCAAUUGAACUAUGCUAUGUCUUUUUUUAUGUUUGAAAUAUCACCAUAUUGUCUCAAAAUGAACAUGUUGCAAGCGCCGGCUGCUCAAGCGCGCUGUAGUUUAGCGCGUCUGCUGGAGCGGCACGCGCGCAUUUUUUUGCAGCGACCGCUGGAGUGGGCGCUCUACGGCGCGCUAAAAGUCGCUAUUUCGGCGCUGUAAACUUGUUUUAGCUCGCCACGCGGUUGCGCGCCUGUUGGAGAUGCUCUUAUGGUAAAUUAUAUUAUUAAGUAAUUUUAGUCAGCUCAAAAGGCUCCAAGUUUCAUUGUCUAUUAUUUCCUGCUCAACCCUGACAUGAAGACAUUUAGUUUGUCUUUGUUUUGGUUGCUUUACCACUCGGUCUUGAUGCCUGAACUAUGUGAGCAUUGUCAGCUUAGUAAAAUGGUAUGAACUUGUGUGCAAUACACAUGGCAGGUCGGAAAACUAACAUUGUAUCUGCAUAUACUGCUUGAGGCACAAUUUUUUGAAAACAUGUUGGUGGCCAGUGGUCAACAAAAGUUUUUAACAUUCUACACGGUGUUAAUAUUCUGGAACUUAUUUUAGUUGACUGCAUAACUGAAUAACAUUUCACUUCACAUUCUUAGUAUAUAUUUUUCAGGCACAUUUUUUCUGGCAAAUGGGCAUGUUGCAACGGUAUUAAAGCCAUGAGAUGAGCCAUAAACGAUUCAUCGUCUCCUUUAUUUGUAAGGUGUGAUAUGGAUGAUAACAAAAUCAAAUCUUUACUCCGGCAAGAAAAGUCACCUUACCAGUGGAGAAAAUCAUCUUCAGUCGACCUGCUAGACUUGGGCGGAGCUGGAAAUGCAAAAUAAGGUGUAGUAUAUUCUAAACACUAACUGUCUAACGGUUUAAUGUUAUUUUAGGACCAUUGUAUAAUAUGCAAUGUAUUUUUCAAAUUUUGAACCAUUGUACGGAAAUUAUAUUAUUUAUACGGUGUAUGUGUAAAUAUUGGCACCCCCGUCACUAACAUCCUUGGUCUUCCCGGUGCUGCUAGACACACACCGAGCAUGCUUUAUGCAAUGAGUAUGAACAGUGCUAUGGGGCUGAUGUUAAUACAUAGAGGCAAACAUAUUCAAUCAUUUCCUCAUGUUUACUUCUCACAGUUGCAUGUCAGGUAAUAGAGCAAACACUUUUUGCCGCCUUGUCACCAUGGAUUAAUUGUGCUAUUAUUAAUUUUCUAUGCUGAAAAGCAAUCGAAACACACGCUCUAAUGUCUACACAAAAGUAUCAUGUAUCCUGAGAUUAAAUCCUGAUGUUCAUAACGUAUUUUAAGGAAAUGAGUAAUGCUUACGUCUUGGGUGAUAGCUAGCACGAUAGCUUGUGUUCUUUUCUACAUGAAUUAGUAGAAGAGUGCUUCUUGCUCUGGGAUAUGAUCUUCCUUGGAUGCAGUAGCACUUUUGAACUUGUACUUACCCUCCUCUCUGUGUAGGUCUGCAUCAAUUAAUUUUGUUGUUGAUCUCCCUUUCCAUGUUUUUUUCUCUGUUUUGUUAUCUUAGCAAAAUAUCGUAGCAAUAUAGUUAUACCGAUUAUUGCAUGUGGUUGAUCAAAGUAGAAGACUAUUGUUUAUAAGUAUAUAUUUGUUCUUCUAUACACAAUAACAUGCAUUGCUUUUAAUGCAUGUUCAAGAAGGAGAAAAUAAUUAGAUUGCCGGUUAAUAUGUGACUACCUUUCUAAUGAGAGUAACUUCGUGUUGCUGAGUUUUCACUAUUUGCUUCCAAAAGUUGUUGCGCCCAUACUAGAAAGGCCAUAAUGAGAAUGUAUAUAACAUUAGCUUCUUAUUUAUUUUGCUAAUUGCAGUGUGACUCUAAUUAUAGCCGCCAACAAGAAGUCCCUUGAUCUCAUAUGGUGAGAUGAUGAUUUUUUCUUUCUAAAAUAUUCACGCGGUAAUUUUGGCAAACCCAAAUAUCUUUUUUCCUGCCAUGCAUGCAGAGUGGAUGGGCCUUUUGAUUCAUUUUGUAGAAUAGUAGAUGCAACUUCGAAGAAAAAGUUGUUGAAAAUAGGAGAGAGAGAGAGAGUGAGAGAGGAGGGAGGGAGGGAGAGGAGGAGAGAGAAAGGAAGAGAGAAUAACUUUCUAUUACGAAGGGGGAGAGGGAGAGUGUGUGUUACUUUGAAGAACAAGCUGUCGAAACUAGGAGAGGGAGAGAUUCAUUUCGUAUAGUGGCUGCAACUUUGAAGAACGGGUUGUAGAGGGCGGGAGGUGGUAAAAAGAAGUCGGCAUUGUUUGGGAUGGAGUCUUAAAUUGCAUGAGCCUUUGCACUUGUGGUGGUAGAAAAGGCGCACGCCUCCUCCCCCUUAUGGCGGUGGUGGAUCAGCACGAAUAUGAGGGGUGGGGAUCAGAGCAGGGCGGUUGGCACCGGACUCGUCCUUGGCGGUCUGUCGGGAAGUACGGUGUGAAGUAGAGAGGGCACAAUGGCGAUGAUGAGGUGUGAGUCAUCUGGUUUUAAAGGAGUGGGCUUCAGCAAGAAAUGUCCCUCAACGACGGGAAGCUGAGCGGGAAGGGGAGGAGGCGACAGGAAGAGGAAAGGGUGUGUCGUGCGGUGGGGCUUUGUGUUGGGCCCGUGUGUUGGAGAUAACAUAUAGGAUAGUCCACACAGCCACAUUUCUCCCCACACAUAUGGUCUGGAUUUGGUGGAGCUCGGACUGUCUAUACAGUUGAAUUUUGGAAGCCCACUGGGCACCCGUACAUGCCCGAACGUAUGAGGAAGAAAUAAGCUUCAACCUUGGAGAUGACCUUAAUCAUUUGUUUGAUUCAUUUAUAUGUAAUGUAGCCUGUAGCAACGCACGGGCAUUCUACUAGUUUGGUUAUAAGUUGUGAGUUUGAAACUUGGUAUUAUGUUUUUAUUAGCACUUAAAUAUAGGAAACAAACCCAAAAAAAUACCAAUUUUUGACGUGAAACAUGUGAUGGUGUGAGUGUAGAAAAUGUUUCAAGGUCAAAAAAUGAACCAAGAGUACUUCACCUUCAAACCUGGCAUGUUCUGUCUCGAAAUCAUGUUUCUUCCUCGGAGAUUUUCCAGUCUCUAAGCAGGGUAUGUCACUACUUUUGAGUAAUAUUCUCAAGAUUUUACCGCAUCCUCUAGCAACCAUAUGAUGACACCAUGCCAAGUUUUAUGUUCUUUAAGCUUUGUUUGCGUUUGCUAGAAUUAGCAAACAAAUAAGCUUCAUGUUCAGGACUAGUACGGGCGCCCUGAUGUUCAUAAAUCCUCGUAUGAUCUUGGAUAAUGCUUAAAUAUAGACUCACUAACACAAGUACGAUUUUCCAACCCAAUUUUACCAAUUUGUUCAUGUACUCACAGUCCAAAUUUAAAUUAUAUUCACUAAAUGCUUGUGAAUGCACUAAAUUACUCCCUCCGCCUCAUAAUAUAAGAGUGUUUUCGACGCUACACUAAUAGCAAAAGCGCUCUUAUAUUAUGGAACGGAGGGAGUACUUAAUAUAACAAAUGAACCUCAAAAAUGCUACUCCCUCCGAUCCAUAUUUAUUGUCGCUCAAACAGAUAUAUCUAGCACUGAAAUACGUCUAGAUACAUCCGUUUGAGCAACAACUAAUAUGGAUCAAAGGGAAUACAUUCUUACAUAAAACUUGUGAUUGUGUAUGAUGAUCAUAGAAAAAGUUUCAAGGUCAAAUGAUGAAGCAGCCGACACUUCGCCUUCAAAACCGACUCGCGCUCCCUCUCGAAAACAUGAUUCUUCCUCGGAGAUGUUUUGGUUUCCAAAUGGUGUACGUCACAACUUUUGAAAAAUCCUUAUAAAGUUUUUAUCCUGUCAUAUUGAGUCAUAUGAUGACACCAUGCUGAGUUUCCUGUUUUUUUAACUUUGUUUGCACAAAUAAACCAAUAAGAUACAUUUUCUACGUCACUAAAACAUUGUCCGUAACCAUUCUUCCACGCACGGAAGCACUCUGAGCCAGACCAAUAAUGCCAGGAAGAAAGACCUUCAAAUGGGUAGUCACCAUUUUUGCAAUAAUAGUAUACACCACAUUACACAAGUUGAUUGUCCUAAAUUGGGUUACCUUUUCCACAGAAUUAACCUUGGGGAUCAUCACAAUACCAGUGUCAUUCCAUCCGAUAGGAAUAGUACACAUAUUAACCGCUUGCAAAACCACCUCCAUCAGAUCGUCCUCUAACAUGGACAAAAAUCUUUUAUAUAAAAUAGCUUGGAGUCCUUCCGACACCAGAGCUUUUAAAUCACCAAUAGAAAAAGAGCCUUACAAACAUCUUCGUCGGUGUAAGGAGCAAGGAGUGCAUUAUUCAUCUCAGCCAACACCUUUUUACGAACCAGUGAUAAAACCUUCUAAUUCAGUUGUAAUACUUCUGAAGUGAAAAGAUUGGAAAAAUAGUAUGUGAUGUGAUCCUUCAGUUCCAUACCUUGCCGUCAGACCCACAAAUCAUCAAGGAGUUUCUUAAUAUUAUUUCUCUUCUUCCUAGCCUUAGCCGCAUUACGAAGAAAAGGUGUAUUACUAUUCCAAUGCAUCAACCAAUUUUCUCGACCUCUCUAUAUCCAAAAAAAUGUGUCUUCCUGAUCUAAAAGAUUUUCAAUGAGAACAAGAAUUUUAUUUUGCCGAGCACUUAUAAGACCACACCGCAGUCUCUCUAAUUAUUAUUUUAAUUUGUUGAUUCUCUGUCUAGUCCCGUUUUAGUGUAUCGCGAUCCAAAAUAUGCAAAUCCAACAUGCACCUAUAUUUAUACUUAAUAGUAAAGGACAAAGUGUUUCUCUGAUUCUUUUUUUUCGUGUGCAGUUAGAAUUACCCCUGCAGUUGGAGACAAAUACAUGACUCGACUCGCACUCGCACUCGCACGGUUACCCACACACAUGAAACAACCUGCGCAGGAACCCUCCCAUCGCAACUAAUAGCCGACCCAAGUAGGUUCUUGCACAGGUUGUUUCUCUCAUUAAUUUUUUCAUUUAUUUGUUUUUAUUUUGUUCAUAUUUUUGAAAAUAUUCAAAGUACGUAUAUUUUGGAGCAUAAAUUUAUUUUAAAAUAAAAUUUUCAAAUUUUAAAAAUAUUAACACAAUACGAAAGCAUUGUUAGCAUAAUUUAAAAAAAUGUUGAUAACAUUAAAAGGAAUGUUUGUGGCAUUCUAAAAAAUGUUCGCAUGUUUCGUGACAUUAAAAAAAUAUGUAUACAAUGUAAACUAGUAGAAUGCCCGUGCGUUGCUACGGGCAAAAGCCGAAUGUCCGUGCGUUGCCACGUAAUAAUAAAAAUAUAGAAACAUUGAUCAAAUUAUUCUUUUAAUUCAGAAAUAUGUGUUAAGCAAGGUGGCAUCUGAUUUCCAUCAUACAACGACAAAUAAAGACUCUCUUCCAAUUGUUUCCUUCUCGGUAGUCUUUGUGUCCCCUUAACAAACCAAAUCAUUCGCUAACUGGAUAUAUGUCAUCCACGAUUAAGUAGUAUUAGUAUCACUCAACUUGACAUAUCCAUGGGUGUUACUAUUAUAAGGUACACAAAGCUUGAAAUUCCUUAGACUUAUAGUGCGCCUCUUAAUUUCAGAUCCAAUUUUGUGAGAUUGUUCUUUAUCAACAGAUGUUCCAUUCUCCAUAGAAAUAAUCAACCUAAAAUUAACACUGCAACUGUUUUAAGUUCGUGUCAAAUAUUAGGCCCAAGCUGUUAACAACGGCCAUUUUUCAACCAACAAGACAUUUCCCUGGGUAAGUAUAUAGUGCACCAGGGCUUGUACCGCACCUGGAUUCGUCUUGUACAUACAAAUGUUUUAGAAAAAACUAAGAAAAAGUCUACAAAUGGGCACAACAUGAACCGAUAAUAUCACAAAACUCAAGUACCCUUUGAAUCUCAACUAAUGUCAAGGUCCAAAAACAAAAGUAGUAUUGACAGUGGUAAUGGGCAAAAAUUUAAAGCCCAACAAAUGUUGUGUUCUAUCAUAGUCGAAUUCGACUUUUUCUCCCGAAGUGUAUUAUGAAUUAGACUUUAAAUUUGUGAAAUGGAUGUUCCAUCUUGUAGGUUGAAUUUAUGUUGGAACUAUUUUAUUUCAAAAUUUAAUUGGAUUAUAAUAUUUAUAGUUGUGUACUGUCGCAUUCGAAUAUUUUCAUUCAUGAAGAUUUAAUAUGCUAUUAUUUUGAUCCUUGUCCCCUCCCCAUCGCUGAUGUCGCCGCCCAGCCAUCCGCCCCUAUCCCGGAUUCCCGACCUCCCACUCCUCAUCGUCGUCCAGAUCACCACACUGCUCCAGCACGGUCCCAAGCGUCCUCCACCGCAGUCGCAGCUCCAGGGCCUCCGAGGCCGCCCUUCACCUAUUCACUGAUGACGUGGAGGUCGCGGGCUCCAUCGAGAACCCUAGCCGCACGCGAUGGCGGCGGCCGACCGGCUUCGCUUCGCGGCUGGGGAGGAGGGGAGAGGGGCAGAGGUUUGUAGGUUUCGGUCACGCUAGUUUUUCUUGCCUGUAUUGUUUUUUUUUGCGCGCGGAAUCUUGGGGAAUCGUGGGGCAGCCUGGGUUCGAUCGAGGUUUGGGGGUACGAAGGGACGUUAUGACCUACCAACUGCUUUAGGAGUAGAGAUUAGGAAAGGUAAGAAUCAAUGUGUUAGGAAAGUUAGGAUUUUAAAUUGAUUUCCAUGAAAAUGGGGUUUAUUGCUUGGAACGUGAUAUCAUUACCUGCCCGUUUGUGAUGUAUCUUGUUAGGAAAGUUUGCAAAUGUUAAGAAAAAAUUUAUUGGGAGGGUGAAAAAAUCACCAUAUGGAUAUGAUGAUGAAAGGUGAGACGAAAUUAAACCAGACGAAAAUAAACCUGGAGGCAAUCCUACCAACUGCUUCAUUAGGAGUAGAGAUGAAGCAUGAACUAUAUUGCCUUCAUUGGCAUGCAUGCUAUUGGUUCCAUAUUAUUUGUGAAUGUGAUGUGUGCCUUACCACCUAUCUGUAGGUACGCUCCUAUCCUGUGUGUGUGUGUUUUUUAUGUCUGAAUUGACCUGCAAUGAGGCCAUAAAUAUCAAGAUAAUAUUGAACUGACAUGGUAGCGAAAAGGGUAUGCAGCAGGAACCCGCAGAAGUAGCUAAAAUCAAGAUUCGGAGAAAUUUUCAUUGAAGUGGUAGCCCUACAAAGAGAAGUAACUUAUCAACUAAUACAUGGCAGAACGUACAUCGUGCCUAAAAUCAACAAAGCAAGCUCCUUUUCUUUCACCAAAACGAGGGCCAUACAGCCGCAAUAUCACAAACGAGAGGAAAGGAGCUAAAAAAAUUAAUCUACACAAAAGCACAGUAAGGAUCCCUCCCGGCACACACCCUCAAAUCAGCGCAAUCCCGAUCAAGAUGGAGACGGAUUAGCGAGACCGAGUAGCAUGUGUACUGUGGUGCUGGGGCUGCAGCCACGACAUCAUGGAGGCCGGUUCGGUAGAGGACGAUGCAUAGUGAUGCUUCCCCGCCACCCUCCGCUUCUUCUUCGCGGACAGUAUCGCCCUUGCACUCCUCUGCAUCGGAGGCUCCGUCCACCACUGGAGGACUGAGUGGCCCUGCAAUUCUCAGAAUCACUUCCAUAUGGAAUAUCAUUUGUCUCGUAAGAAAGCAAGAGCUUAAAAUUUCCCCAGGUAUUUAUAUUCUCAACAACCUCAAAACCACUUACUCUAUUGUGAGACACGCUUGACGAUACAACACUUUUCUCAUCUUUAUGUCCAUUUAUGGAAUUCCCAGAUGAUUAAAUUGUCGCUCCGGUUGCUAGAUUUAACUGGUCUACUAUGUGAACAUCGACAAAAUAUGCCCCCUUUCUUUGAACCGUGAGAAGGUAAUCACACAUCAAACAACAAUACAUCGUAAGGUGGGGUGGAAUUGAAUUUAAGUAAACCCAGUUGUACGAUAUGCCAACACAUCCCUAUUGUUUUUUACGAGAAUGUGAGGCUUCAGUGGACACUUACCUUAAUUGAGUUCCCGAAAAGUUUGUAAUUAUCUGACGCAACCAUGAAGGAUCGCCCAAUAGGAUUCAGGGAACUCCUUCAGAUACAUAUACAAAGAAAUUAGGACACCAACCAAUGACUUAACUAAGCAAUUAGGAGUACACAGAAACUCCUAGAAAACGCCCCGGUCAGCGAGUCAAAAAUUAACCUCGGAAGUGAGGUUGGAGGGAGGAAGUGGGUCAAUAGGUGAAGACACAAUCCCAGAUAUGGUCCUACUCGGAUAAAAUAUCAAUCCUCAACAUGUACUAAGUAAUCAUGCAUGCACUUAUACUUGGACGGCCAGGACACAUAUCUGCGAGAUCCUAGAUGAAGAACAAAUUUCGAAAAAAAUAACGCAACCUAAGAUUUCCCGUGCGUAAAACAUGUCAUGGAAGCGAAAGCGGGCUACCGUAACAAAAAAAUCUUAACUGGACCAUAGUAAUUAGCAAUUGACACCCAAUUUCAGAUUACAAGAACACCAUGCGACCAAUGAUGAAUCAUGCCAAAUUGGUUUGAAGAAUAUGGACUGGGCUGAACUUGAUGGAACAGGGACACGACUUUACCUUGCGGUGGCCCUCAUUGGGAGCGGUGGCCCUCCUCAACUGCAAGUUACCGCAAAAAAUAAUUACAUGUCAGCAAUGCAUUUUGUUCCCCGAAUCAGCAGGUGGAUUUUGCUUCCGUUUUUUUAAUUUACAAACGUUGCUACAUGUGUAAGUACAAUCCUAAGCUUGAAUUUAUUUCAUCAGUUUGGCAGGAAACACCCAAAAGGAAUUUUUACUGAAUCGUGUGAACACAAGAUGGGGAAAUGAAGGGACCACAAAGUAUUGGUUCUACCAGUAGCUAGUGCACCUUAAUAAUUCAGUAUCAGUGAGGUUUAUGGUAUGGUACUAAACAAAGACUUCUAGAUUGUUUCUAUUUUCCCUAGUGCAUAAUUAAAUCUAAGAGGAUAUUCCCUACUCACAACGAUCACUAUUAGGGUCACAUUGCCACAUUAAUGCUUUUGAGUCUGCAAAUAAUAAUACGAAAUUAGUAUUUCACACAGAGAGGAGAGAAUAAGAUAGGAACAUAUCUUGUACUUUCUUUUACCGGAAGAACAUCUCUAGUAUUGCCACAGAAGAGGAUAAAAAUAGUUAACAUUUAGUUUAAACAUUACAAGCUGUUCCUGAGACUUGUAAAUUGCUAUAACUUGCACAUGGAAACCAUCCGAAAAUUCAAUCAAUCUUUGUUGGAUUUACUUAUGAGAUACGUACAUUCACAUGAUUCUGCAUAUGUAGAGAGAGAAAAAAAAUUCCAAGCUUCCUUUCCUGUCCAAAUAAAUGCGCAAGCAAAUAACCAAGUGAAAGUUCAGGUAACAGUUAUACACAAAACAUAAAGUGGAGUAUAUGAAGAAAAUAUUCAAUCUGAAAAGACAACAAAUAAAUGAGAGCAAUAAGAUAUUAUUGUUAAAAUUAGAUGCAAACCUUAUAUAUUGAAAUCAGUCUGAACAAGAAACGUGUCAUACAUAUUGAAACACAAAUAGUGUUCAAUUUGUAACUUACUGGAGAAUAUGUCCUUCAAUCAUAUGCAUCAAGGCAUGUAGCCAUCCAGUAAAUGGUUGAAUUAUAAGCAUAAACUUGUAUGUGGUACCACUUGCAAGGAUCUGCUCUACCAAUUCGUCCAUAAUGAAUUCACUAAUGCCGGGUGCAUGUAUAAUCUGAAUGGCUUUGUUUCUGGAAAAUUAAUCCUUACUCAUAAUUUGAACACCAUUGGCACAACCAACGAAAGAGUGGGUCACGAUUUCUUCAGUGAUUUGUCCCUCCUUUUGAUACCGUGUAGCCACACAAAAAACAACAUGAGACAAAACCUAAUCAACUAUUAGAUCUGGUCAUCUGGAGAGUAAAAGCCACCGCUUUAGAUCAGAUUUUGACGAAGAAAAUUCGCUCGGCUUGCCACUCGUGUCAAGUGCUACUUACCAACGACGGGUAAACAAAAAAAUGAUUGGUAACACUUGCACAAAAGGAGAAAUUAGAAUAGAAAACAGGCAAACAAACUUGAGAAAGUACACCCAGGCAAAUAAGUAUUUAGCUUUUCUGAAAAACAUGACACAUCAGUAUAACUUGUUCGAAGGUAACCAUAUUAGUGGCUAAUGUAUAGUUAUUUGCUCCAGAUUUGAGGGAAAGGCUCCAUGACGAUGAGAAAUUAUAACAUAAUAUGAUUGGUCACGGACAACAUCUAAAAUAAUUGAUACUGUAAGAUACUAAAAAGUGUGGAUGUUCUAUCAACAACCACCCAUUAAGAAAAUGGAUUUGGAGUACCGAGUACCUGGCUCUGGGAAAGAAUUUAUCGCUGGGGGGCUUCCACGUCCUCUCCAUUGUCUUUGCAGAGGUUAGUUUGAUAGGCUUUUGCAGGCACAACUGCUGAUCAAAAUCAAAAUAUAUGGGAAGGAUUGCAAAGAGACGGGGCAACACCUGUUAGAAAAUCAGCGGGGGCGCAUCCGGCUAGGGCAUAAGCAGCCGCGGCAGCUUCUCCGGAUGCAUACAUCCUCAUGGCGUGGAGGCAGUGAGCAUCCGGCUGGGGCCACGGCAGCUGUACCUCGUUGUCAUGACUCAAACACACUCGAGUUAAUUGCACAGAAGUACCACAAUUGGGGCAUCACAUGCAGAUUGGUACCACGAUUGCUAAUUUUUGCAUGUCAGUACCAUGAUUGCUCCAGGUUUUUUCAAAUAAGGCUAAAACGCGUAUUUAUACGUAUUGACGCUCGAUCCGACAGCUCGGGCCCACCCGUCAGGUGCCACGCUGGCCAAUCGGCGCGUGCCCGCGCGCUGACUAGGACGAUCCGGUGCGCUGCUGCUCUCCAACCCGGUCCGGUCGCACCAGCUCGCCCCCGCCGCACCAUUCCCCUCCCCUCCUCCUCUCCUCACUCGUUUCCUCCGUCGCCGCCGCCUGCGUCCCGACUGCCGGCCGCCGCACCGCCCCGCCGACGCCAUGGUUUUGGAGGACGAAAGCAGCGACGACCAGUCUAGCCUCCCGUACAUGCAUUCUUCCUCCACAGACGGUCUCAACGAGGUCAGUACAGUGAGUUUAGGGUUAGGGUUACAGAUUUGGGAUUUCUUGAUUUGGUUGAUUUUGGUAGGUUUUGAUUUGCCCAUUGUCUUUGUGCGAGCUUCUGCAGGUCCCUUUCAGCCUUGAAGAUCCAUAUUACAAGGGGCUUGAGCUGGAUGUGAUGUCUCCAUGUGAGAAGCACGGCAUGGCAUCUGAGAGGCUUGUUGCCUUUGAAGGAACAGACACAGGCAGGCGGUUUUUAGCAUGUGCACAGCCGGUAUGGAUUGUAGGCAUAGUAAUUUUUUUUUCUUACUUUGUCAGUGCCAUAUUGAACUCUGUUUGCUGGAGUACUCUCCUUGCUGUCAACAUUUUGGUUCAUAGUGGCAUUAGAGUAGCUUAUUUAGGUCAAGCAUGAGUAUAUUUUGCUGGAGUACAAUGGCAUAGUAAUUUUGGUUAAUAGUGGUACUAGAGUAGCUUAAAAAUGAUAACUAACCUAGUCAGUCAGCUACUCAAGUGGCUGCUCCUCUUGUUAAAUGUAGUGGUCUGAUGCUAAAUUUAGAUAUUCUUUUUGGCAACUGCAGUUAUCUUGUGUAAUUACUUGUUGUAUGAACUGUGUUGGUGUUGUUGUUGUUUUUGCAGGCAGGUAGCAAUUGUGGCUUUGUUGAAUGGGUUGAUCACCAGUGGCCCCCAACAAUGCAGAAUGCAUUGUUGAAGCUAUGGGCAAUGGUUGAAGAUGCCAAAACUGCUAGGGUGAAUGACAAUCUUGAAAGUUUUUUCACUAUCCACCAUCUGACAGAAGAGAAGAACAAGCUGGAUGCCAACUAUGACAAGCUAGUCCAAGAUGUGCAUGAGCUGAUGAACUUCCAGGAAGAUAAGGUGGUGGAUUUCAGACAUCUGCAGUCUGCCAUUACAUAUCAGCAGGAGGUAAGAAAAGAACUGAUUGAUGAUAUGAAGGCACAGAUGGCAAGUGAGAUGGCAAAGAAAGAUGAAGAGACCCAGAAACUUACUCUGAAGUAUGAGCUGCUGCUCAACCUGACAAGAGCUCAAGCAAUAGUCAUUCAAAACUUGAAGUUGAACAAAAUGAAAGAGAAGCAAGUGCUUACUGAAGCUAGUAUGAAUUUGGAGCUGAAGAAUGCAGAGCUAACAAAAUGUCAGGAGAAGCUCACCCAAGAGAAGCUAGAGUUGAAGCUUCAGGUUGCUGAUCUGCUUAAGGGAAAUGAAAAGCAUAUUGAAGAGAAGUGGCAGUUAGAGUUUCAGAAUGAAAAGUUGAAGGAGAAGUUCAGGGGGAUUCAGGCCAUCUUGGAGAAGUGAAGAAGAUGAAAAUGAGAUUAGUGGCAUUGCUGACCUUUUGGGAAUGAUGGUUGUGUAAUGACCUAGCAUCUAGGAACUAAGGUUGUGUACUGUAUGCUUGUACUAAUGGUGAACUAUGGUUGUGUAUGUAUGUAGUAGUUAUGCUAUUCAUCCUUUUGUGAGAAAAGGAUGAACUAUGCAUUUGAAGUUGAACUCCUCUAUGUAUUGUGAACAAUGGUUAUGUAUGGCUAUAAUGAGUUGAACUCCAGAAACUAAUGUGAUCAGUUUCUUAUUAUGUAUGGAUAUGCUGAUUAUGUAGAAGGAUAUGUUGAUGAUGAUACAUUAUGACAAUCUUGCAACAAACCACUCAUGUCAUACAAAAUAAAAGAGGAACAAGACUGACUAAAUCUCAUUGCAUCAGAAGAUAACUUCACUGAUCCAUUAACACUUGAUCCAUUACAACUUGGCUUAAACUAGAGCAACUAAACCAGACAGUACAUUGCAUUUAGAUUGGCUGCAACUAAACCAACUAACUAACUUAAUAUCUUGCCUGCAACUAACCCAAGCACAAAUAUAGUGAAAAGAAACAACACAUUGUGAAAUUUGGCCCUAAUCCCUACAAUCUCUGCAUUCUUCUCUCUGAGUUGAGUUUGCAGAGACAGAAACAUGGCCUCCCUUGUGCCAUCAUCUUCACUUGGAGUCAGCAUUGGAAAUUGAUCUUCCUCUCUAGCAACAGUUGCACCUUUAAGCCUCCAUACUUCAUCACGUAGAUCCCCAAUGAGCUCACUCCAGAAUGUGGGCAAUGGAUCAUCAUGCCAUUGCACAAAUCCACAGCCACCGUGCUAUUAAGAUGCAGAAACAAAUUUCCAAAAAUAUAUCAUUUCACAUACUACUGCACAGAAGAAAAAGGAAGGAAAUUAGGCAAAAAAAACAACACUCACCAUAGCAUCCACGCAGCUAUAGUACCUCCUACCAGGGUUUUGCCUGCUCCAGGAGAUCCAUCUUGGCGCCUUCCUCGGAGGUGAGCAGUGGCACAUCACUGGAGGCUCGUAUGCCAUUGGGAGCUCGCGGUAGCGCACCGGCGAGCGCGCCUCCUCCCCCCUCCUUCCUGCAGCUCGACGAAAUCCGGGAGCGGACCCGGCACUGGACGACCACGACAUCUCUCUCUCCAUCGCCGGCCCCAGUCAGCGCCUCCACGCUGAGAUUUCUCCUUCUUCUCCUUUGCUGCGCUCCAAAUGGACACUGCGUGGACGAACCCUAGUUUCGUUCCCAAAUCUGAGAUCUUGUGCUGUCACUUUAAUAGUAGGAGAGGUACCUGUCCCACAUGUCAGAAUCCCCAAAUGUGGUACUGCAUGUUAUGUGAUGCCCCAAUAUUGGUACUGACAUGCAACAACUAGCAGCAGUAUUGGUACUGAUUUGAAACAAGUAACUGAAAAUGUGUUACUGCUUUGCAAAUACUGGUACUCCACCUCAAGUUCAACAUUACAAUAACCACCUCAAGUUCCACAUUCAGAUAACCACCUCAAGUUCAACAUUACAAUAACCACCUCAAGUUCCACAUUCAGAUAACCACCUCAAGUGGCAACAACACAUCAACAUGAGCAUCAAGUUCAACCAAAAUAACACCACAUCAUUUCAAAUUACAUGGCUCCUCUUCCUCUGCUAGCAGUGAAGUAGGACAUCCAUCCAGUGUGUGUACCAUCAGUAGGAAUGUCAGCAUAUUGCCUGGGGGCACUGAAUGGCCUUGGAGCACCUCUUCCAGCUCCUCUUCCUCUGCCAGCUCCUCUUCCAGAUGGUGGUGGUGUAGUAGAAGUAGCAGCUCCUCUUCCUCUUCCAGAUGGUGGUGGUGUAGUAGAAGUAGCAGCUCCUCUUCCUCUGGCAGCUCCUCUGGCAGCAGCUCUUGGCUGUCUUGCUGUUGUUGUAGUAGAAGGACCAGCAGUUGUUGGCUGUGAGUUACUUGGAGUAGCCUUACAAAGAAAAGGAAAAUAGUUAAUAAUGCUAGAAAGAAAUGUACAAGAAAUAAAGGAAAGAUUUGUAUAUUUCAAGGUGAAAAAUUAUUACCACAUGCUUAUUCUUCCUCAAAGCUAGCUCAGGCUUCAACUGUUUAAGACAGUUUGUGUACCUAUGCCCUUGGAGACCACAAUUGCCACAUGUUAUGGUCCCCAUUCUUGAAGUGUCUUUUGGAUUUGGUACUUCAAAUUUGCCCUUGAUCCUCUUUUCUUUCUUUCUUCCUCUCUUGAUUUUGAAUGCAGGUGGUUCUAUGUCUGGACCAGGGGUCCUUGUCCAAUCAUGCUCACCAGGCACAGGAAAGAUCAUUGGUUCAUAAGCUGCAGCAUAAAAAUCUUUCUUGAAGAAUUUGCUGACAUAAUCCUCUGGUUUCCUUUUAGCCUUGUUUAUUGCAGAGAUGGCAUGGUUGCAAGGUAUGCCACUAAGGUCCCACUUCCUGCAUCCACAAGUCUCAAGUUCCAGGUUGACAGCAUGUGUUUGCUGCCCACUUGUAACUUGCGAUAAGUUGACCCCUGCCUGUAUUGGCUUGCAAUAUCUGGCCCUCUCCUUCUCAACCUCUAGCUUCUCACUGUAAUGAGGUGUUAUAUCCCAUCUUGCUGCCUUUACACUCUCUCUGUUCCUAUGCCACCUCACCAUCUGCUUAUCUUUUAUCCCAUCACACAUUGUCCUUAUAGGUUUUCUCCUAACAUCUAGAAUGUACUUGUUGAACACCUCAGACAAGUUGUUCACUACCAAGUCAGUCUUGCAGUUUGUGUCAAAUGCAUGCCUUGCCCAUGUUUUUUUUGGUAUUGCAGUAAGCCACUCCCAAGCUUCCUCACUUUCAGCUCUAAGAUCAUUCAUUGCAAUAUUAAAUUUGUGUUCAUUGUAGGCAUAGCUAGCAUUAUCCAUGCACUUCUUAAGAUCUUCACCCCUAAACCCAGCAUUCUGGAAAUUUGCAUAUAAAUGCCUAAGGCAGAAUCUUUGGUUGCAAUUUGGAAAGACAGCAUUCACUGCAUUCAAUAACCCCUGACACAAACAAUUUAACAAGUCUAAGCUACAAGGUAAAUAAAUAUGCACCAAUGAAACUCUUAGCUACUGUUAACACUUGUGCAAAACAAAAUGAAAUGUGCAAACACAUACCUUUUGUCUAUCUGACAUUAUAGUAUAAGGUCCAAACUUGCCCACUUCUCCACCUAGGCAAAUUUUCAGUUGGUGUAGAAACCAGCACCAACUAGGUGUGUCCUCUUGUCCAACUAUGCCAAAUGCCAGUGGAUAUAUGUUGUUGUUGCCAUCUCUACCAGUGGCAACAAGGAGUUGAGCUCCUGUAGUGAGCUUAAUGAAGCAUCCAUCAACACCUGCAUAAUCAACAUUUCCAAACAUUAAAUACAUUCAAGUGAUAUACAAUAUGGAGUACUCUACAAUAUGUAAAUGGUGCACAAGGUUCAGGAACUAACCAAUGAAUGGCCUACACCCAUUGAGAAACCCCUCCCUUGCUCCAUUCAGGCAAAAGAACAUGGCAUGGAAUCUUGGGCCUGGGUGGGGUAUUUUUGCAUUUGGUACUGGAGUAACAGUAGUGACUAUUACUCUACUCCCAGGGUUUGUGUCCAUGACAGUUUGAGCAUAGUCUUUAAGCCUAGGAUAUUGCUUCUUGUGAUCUCCUAAGACAGCUUCAAUAGCUAUGUUCUUUGCCCUAUAUACCAUGCACUUGGGCACAUCUACACCAUAUUUUUCCAUGCAUGCAUCAAUUAUUGUCUGAAUACCAGUAGUUAUAUCAGAUCUGAAGAGAUGCUCAUAUUUCUGUGCUAGCCACUUAGCACUAACCCUGGUGGUCUCAGUGGUACUAGGGCAAGUGUGCUCCAGUCUCAUCUUCUUAAUUACAAAGGUUUUCUCCCCUUUUAUAACUGCUGCCACCAUAAAGAACUGGCAUUGUUUAUCUGGACACUCAACAAUUAUCCUCUGAUCUGAAUUCCUGUGAUACUUAAAAUUCCUGGCCUGAGUGAUGUGCAAAUUCAACAAAGCAUCUUUGAAUUGACGCUGAUCCCUAAAACACAACUUCAUACACAGUUGCUCAUGUGGUUGCUCCAUUCUCUCAUUGUACCACUUCCUAGCAGGCCUUUUCUUUGCCCUACUCUUCCUUUUCUUUGGUAGGACAAAAGAGGCUGGCUCAAGACCAUCAUCAUCACUCUCCCUCAACAACCCCUUCUCUUCUUCAUCUGAUGAUGGUCUGAAAUCAGGUUCAACCUCUGGUAGCUUACUACAAUGUGACCUAGUUGUCGGUCCUCUUCUAACUGGUAGCUUCUGCUUCUUCUUCACAGGUUCAACUAUAGUUUCUUCUUCUUCUUCAAAAGUCCUAUCUUCCUCUACCUCAAAUGGUUCCUCAACUUCAGUGUCACCCUCAUAAUGCAGUAUUUCUUCCUCUUCUGAUUGCUCAUCAUCUGAUUCUUCCUCUUGUACUUCUAGCUCUCUCUGUCUCUUUCCCUCUUCCACCUCUACAUCUUCAUCAUCACCCAUGUAAUGAUGGUCAUUUCCAAUUUGAGCAUCCUCAUCAGAGGCAUUAGCAUCACUGUCCUCAUAUGCCUCAAAUCCUUGAUAUCCCUCUUCUUCUUCUUCCAAAACUGCUUUCAACUUGGCUGUUGCAUUCUUGCUUUCUUGUGUGCAAACACCAGCAGGAUGAGGUGUGCUAGAGUUGCUACAUUGACUCUCAAAAAAUACUCCUUGCUGAUCAACAGCUAAGACAGGAGGCUCACUUAGAUCGAAAACAACAGGCUCUUGGUACACCACAGUGGACAACUCUGGCAUUUCACAUUGCUGCAACUCAAAAUCAGUAUCAGGGGGUGGACAAGCCCUGACUAGCAAAUCAAGCACCAAUUUGUCGUGGAUCUUCCUCUUUAUCUUCUGUAAUUCUGCAUGACUGUCUACCAAAUCCAGCCCUUUCUCUCCUAAAGAUGGAUUUUCAAUGUGAUACAAACAAUCAUAUGCAUUAAAUCCUUAGGUUUCCAUCACUGCAACCAAAUUCAGAUAAGUAAUAUCUGAACCACACAGCUUCAUCUCCAAUGGUUCUCUUGCAUCAAAAUGGAUCCUUACUUGCCAAAUGUCUUCAUCCAAACUACAGAACAAAUUAAAUUUCAUGUAUUCAUUAUAAUUACUCUUAAUUUGGAGAGCAACAGUACAGUACAGAAUAAUUUAGAGUAACCUGUAAGUCUAAUAUUUACUAUUAACUCUACUAUUACAGAUGCUAUUUCAGCACAGAACAAUGCUACUAAAGUAACCUGUAAGUCUAAUAUUUACAGUACAGAACAAUGUACUUUACUACUUCAGCACAAUAGCAAAAUCAAGGAAAAAGACAAGGUCAUAAUCCCAAAUUGUUAGUGUAAUUGAACUAAUUUGAGAGUGCAAUACACUGAGUUACUAGGUUACUGUAAUUGUCCUAUACUAGUCACUACAAUUGGACAAACCCUAAUCCCCAACUGGAUAAACAAGAAGAUGAACAAACCCUAAAAAUCCCCAAUUGGGUAAACCAGAGCAGGAGGAGGACAAGGGUACUUACAGCACGCCGCCAAGUCCAUGCGUCAACUGAUGGCUGCUGCUAGGGUUCGCCACCCACUGCUACGCCAACCGCAACCGCUGCUCCAUGCUGAGUAACAUCGACUCCUCCUCGUCGUCGGUCGAGUACGCGGAGCUGGAGUUGUCGCCGCCAUCGCCGUCGACGCCAGCCGUUCUGCUAGGAGGCCAGAACGGCAUCUCACCGCCGCCGUGGACGCCCUCGCCGCCGCCUGCCGGAGUCGCCGACGCCAUAGACUAGGGUUCGAGCGAGUGAGGAGAGGAGGUGUGGCGGGGGCGAGCUGGUGCGACCGGACCGGGUUGGAGAGCAGCAGCGCACCGGCUCGUCCUAGUCAGCGCGCGGGCACGCGCCGAUUGGCCAGCAUGGCACCUGACGGGUGGGCCCGAGCUGUCGGAUCGAGCGUCAAUACGUAUAAAUACGCGUUUUAGCCUUAUUUGAAAAUACCUGAAGCAAUCAUGGUACUGACAUGCAAAAAUUAGCAAUCGUGGUACCAAUCUGCAUGUGAUGCCCCAAUUGUGGUACUUCUGUGCAAUUAACUCAACACACUCGUCCGCUUUGGGCGGCCGUUUCCCAACGGAGUGUGCGGGUUGCCGCACCCCUGGGCCAGACGGGAAGCCCCCUUCACCAACCCCCGCAUCAACUGUUGGGGAACGUAGUAAUUUCAAAAAAAUUCCUACGCACACGCAAGAUCAUGGUGAUGCAUAGCAACGAGAGGGGAGAGUGUUGUCCACGUACCCUCAUAGACCGACAGCGGAAGCGUUAUCACAACGCGGUUGAUGUAGUCGUACGUCUUCACGAUCCGACCGAUCAAGUACCGAACGCACGGCACCUCCGAGUUCUACACACGUUCAGCUCGAUGACGUCCCUCGAACUCCGAUCCAGCCGAGUGUUGAGAGAGAGUUUCAUCAGCAUGACGGUGUGGUGACGAUGAUGAUGUUCUACCGACGCAGGGCUUCGCCUAAGCUCCGCAAUGAUAUUAUCGAGGUGUAAUUUGGUGGAGGGGGGACACCGCACACGGCUAAAAGAUCUCAAGGAUCAAUUGUUGUGUCUCUGGGGUGCCCCCUUGCCCCCGUAUAUAAAGGAGCAAGGGAGGAGGAGGCCGGCCCUAGGAGGGGGCGCACCAAGUGUGGAGUCCUACUAGGACUCCCUAGUCCUAGUAGGAUUCCACCUCCCAUAUGGAAUAGGAAAAGAGGAAGGGAAAAGAGAAGGAAGGAAGGGGGCGCCCCCCUUCCCUAGUCCAAUUCGGACCAGACCAAGGGGAGGGGUGCGGCCACCCUUGAGGCCCUUUUUCUUCUUUCCCGUAUGGCCCAAUAAGGCCCAAUACGUAUUCCCGUAACUCUCCGGUACUCCGAAAAAUACCCGAAUCACUCGGAACCUUUACGAAGUCCGAAUAUAGUCGUCCAAUAUAUCGAUCUUUACGUCUCGACCAUUUCGAGACUCCUCGUCAUGUCCCCGAUCUCAUCCGGGACUCCGAACUCCUUCGGUACAUCAACAUACAUAAACUCAUAAUAAAACUGUCAUCGUAACUUUAAGCGUGCAGACCCUACGGGUUCGAGAACUAUGUAGACAUGACCGAGACACGUCUCCGGUCAAUAACCAAUAGCGGGACCUGGAUGCCCAUAUUGGCUCCCACAUAUUCUACGAAGAUCUUUAUCGGUCAGACCGCAUAACAACAUACGUUGUUCCCUUUGUCAUCAGUAUGUUACUUGCCCGAGAUUCGAUCGUCGGUAUCUCGAUACCUAGUUCAAUCUCGUUACCGGCAAGUCUCUUUACUCGUUCCGUAACACAUCAUCCCGCAACUAACUUAUUAGUCACAAUGCUUGCAAGGCUUAUAGUGAUGUGCGUUACCGAGUGGGCCCAGAGAUACCUCUCCGACAAUCGGAGUGACAAAUCCUAAUCUCGAAAUACGCCAACCCAACAAGUACCUUUGGAGACACCUGUAGAGCACCUUUAUAAUCACCCAUUUACGUUGUGACGUUUGGUAGCACACAAAGUGUUCCUCCGGUAAACGGGAGUUGCAUAAUCUCAUAGUCAGAGGAACAUGUAUAAGUCAUGAAGAAAGCAAUAGCAACAUACUAAACGAUCGGGUGCUAAGCUAACGGAAUGGAUCAAGUCAAUCACGUCAUUCUCCUAAUGAGGUGAUCUCGUUAAUCAAAUGACAACUUAUGUCUAUGGCUAGGAAACAUAACCAUCUUUGAUUAACGAGCUAGUCAAGUAGAGGCAUACUAGUGACACUCUGUUUGUCUAUGUAUUCACACAUGUAUUAUGUUUCCGGUUAAUACAAUUCUAGCAUGAAUGAUAAAAAUUUAUCAUGAUAUAAGGAAAUAAAUAAUAACUUUAUUAUUGCCUCUAGGGCAUAUUUCCUUCAGUCUCCCACUUGCACUAGAGUCAAUAAUCUAGUUCACAUCGCCAUGUGAUUUAACAUGAAUAGUUCACAUCACCAUGUGAUUAACACCCAUGGUUCACAUCGUCAUGUGACCAUCACCCAAAGGGUUUACUAGAGUCAGUAAUCUAGUUCACAUCGCUAUGUGAUUAACACCCAAAGAGUACUAAGGUGUGAUCAUGUUUUGCUUGUGAGAUAAUUUUAGUCAACGGGUCUGUCACAUUCAGAUCCGUAAGUAUUUUGCAAAUUUCUAUUCUACAAUGCUCUGCAUGGAGCUACUCUAGCUAAUUGCUCCCACUUCCAAUAUGUAUCUAGACCGAUACUUAGAGUCAUCUAGAUUAGUGUCAAAACUUGCAUCGACGUAACCUUUUACGACGAGCCUUUUGUCACUUCCAUAAUCGAGAAACAUAUCCUUAUUCCAGUAAGGAUAAUUUUGACCGUUGUCCAGUGAUCUACUCCUAGAUCACUAUUGUACUCCCUUGCCAAAAUCAGUGUAGGGUAUACAAUAGAUCUGGUACACAGCAUGGCAUACUUUAUAGAACCUAUGGCCAAGGCAUAGGGAAUGACUUUCAUUCUCUUUCUAUCUUUUGCCGUGGUCGGGCUUUGAGUCUUUACUCAAUUUCACACCUUGUAACACAGGCAAGAACUCUUUUCUUUGACUGUUCUAUUUUGAACUACUUCAAAAUCUUGUUAAGGUAUGUACUCAUUGAAAAACUUAUCAAGCGUCUUCAUCUAUCUCUAUAGAUAUUGAUGCUCAAUAUGUAAGCAGCUUCACCGAGGUCUAUCUUUGAAAAACUCCUUUCAAACACUCCUUUAUGCUUUGCAGAAUAAUUCUACAUUAUUUCCGAUCAACAAUAUUUCAUUCACAUAUACUUAUCAGAAAUGUUGUAGUGCUCCCACUCACUUUCUUGUAAAUACAGGCUUCACCGCAAGUCUGUAUACAACUAUAUGCUUUGAUCAACUUAUCAAAGCGUAUAUUCCAACUCCGAGAUGCUUGCACCAGUCCAUUGAUGGAUCGUUGGAGCUUGCAUAUUUUGUUAGCACCUUUAGGAUUGACAAAACCUUCUGGUUGUAUCAUAUACAACUCUUCUUUAAUAAAUCCAUCAAGGAAUGCAGUUUUGUUUAUCCCUUUGCCAGAUUUCAUAAAAUGCAGCAAUUGCUAACAUGAUUCGGACAGACUUAAGCAUAGAUACGAGUGAGAAACUCUCAUCGUAGUCAACAUCUUGAACUUGUCGAAAACCUUUUUGCGACAAUUCUAGCUUUGUAGAUAGUGAUACUACUAUCAGCGUCCGUCUUCCUCUUGACAAUCCAUUUAUUCUCAAUUGCUUGCCGAUCAUCGGGCAAGUCAACCAAAGUCCACAGUUUGUUCUCAUACAUGGAUCUCAUCUCAGAUUUCAUGGCCUCAAGCCAUUUUGCGGAAUCUGGGCUCACCAUCGCUUCUUCAUAGUUUGUAGGUUCGUCAUGGUCUAGUAACAUAACCUCCAGAACAGGAUUACCGUACCACUCUGGUGCGGAUCUUACUCUGGUUUACCUACGAGGUUUGGUAGUAACUUGAUCUGAAGUUACAUGAUCAUCAUCAUUAACUUCCUCACUAAUUGGUGUAGAAGUCACAGGAACAGAUUUCUGUGAUCCAAUAAGGGAGCAGGUACAGUUACCUCAUCAAGUUCUACUUUCCUCCCACUCACAUCUUUCGAGAGAAACUCCUUCUCUAGAAAGGAUCCAUACUUAGCAACGAAUGUCUUGCCUUCGGAUCUGUGAUAGAAGGUGUACCCAACUGUCUCCUUUGGGUAUCCUAUGAAGACACAUUUCUCCGAUUUGGGUUUGAGCUUAUCAGGAUGAAAUUUUUUCACAUAAGCAUCGCAACCCCAAAAUUUUAAGAAACGACAACUUUGGUUUCUUGCCAAACCACAGUUCAUAAGGCGUCGUCUCAACGGGUUUUGAUGGUGCCCUAUUUAACGUGAAUGUAGCUGUCUCUAAUGCAUAACCCAAAACGAUAGUGGUAAAUUGGUAAGAGACAUCAUAGAUUGCACUAUAUCCAAUAAAGUACGGUUAUGACGUUCGGACACACCAUUACACUGUGGUGUUCCAGGUGGCGUGAGUAGUGAAACUAUUUCACAUUGUUUUAACUGAAGGCCAAACUCGUAACUCAAAUAUUUUACCUCUGCGAUCAUAUCGUAGAAACUUUUAUUUUCUUGUUACGAUGAUUCUCCACUUCACUCUGAAAUUCUUUGAACUUUUCAAAUGUUUCAGACUUUGUGUUUCAUCAAGUAGAUAUACCCAUAUCUGCUCAAAUCAUCUGUGAAGGUCAGAAAAUAAUGAUACCUGCUACGAGCCUCAAUAUUCAUCGGACCACAUACAUCUGUAUGUAUGAUUUCCAACAAAUCUGUUGCUCUCUCCAUAGUUUCGGAGAACGGCGUUUUAGUCAUCUUGCCCAUGAGGCACGGUUCGCAAGCAUCAAGUGAUUCAUAAUCAAGUGAUUCCAAAAUCCCAUCAGUAUGGAGUUUCUUCAUGCGCUUUACACCAAUAUGACCUAAACGGCAAUACCACAAAUAAGUUGCACUAUCAUUAUUAACUUUGCAUCUUUUGGCUUCAAUAUUAUGAAUAUGUGUAUCACUACGAUCGAGAUCCAACAAACCAUUUUCGUUGGUGUGUAUGACCAUAAAGGUUUUAUUCAUGUAAACAGAACAACAAUUGUUCUCUAACUUAAAUGAAUAACCGUAUUGCAAUAAACAUGAUCAGAUCAUAUUCAUGCUCAACGCAAACACCAAAUAACACUUAUUUAGUUUCAACACUAAUCCCGAAAGUACAGGGAGUGUGCGAUGAUGAUCAUAUCAAUCUUGGAACUACUUCCAACACACAUCGUCACCUCGCCUUUUACUAGUCUCUGUUUAUUCUGCAACUCCCGUUUUCGAGUUACUACUCUUUAGCAACUGAACCAGUAUCAAUUACCGAGGGGUUGCUAUAAACACUAGUAAAGUACACAUCAAUAAUCUGUAUAUCAAAUAUACCUUUGUUCACUUUUACUAGUCUCUGUUUAUUCUGCAACUCCCGUUUCGAGUUACUACUCUUAGCAACUGAACCAGUAUCAAUUACCGAGGGAUUGCUAUAAACACUAGUAAAGUACACAUCAAUAAUCUGUAUAUCAAAUAUACCUUUCUUCACUUUGCCAUCCUUCUUAUCCACCAAAUAGUUGGGGUAGUUCCGCUUCCAGUGACCAGUCCCUUUGCAGUAGAAGCACUUAGUCUCAGGCUUAGGACCAGACUUAGGCUUCUUCACUUGAGCAGCAACUUGCUUGCCGUUCUUUUUGAAGUUCCCCUUUUUCCCUUUGCCCUUUUCUUGAAACUAGCGGUCUCGUCAACCAUCAACACUUGAAGUGGUCUCGUCAACCAUCAACACUUGAUGUUUUUCUUGAUUUCUACCUUCGUCGAUUUCAGCAUCACGAAGAGCUCGGGAAUUACUUUCGUCAUCCCUUGCAUACCAUAGUUCAUCACGAAGUUCUACUAACUUGGUGAUGGUGACUAGAGAAUUCUGUCAAUCACUAUUUUAUCUGGAAGAUAAACUCCCACUUGAUUCAAGCGAUUGUAGUACCCAGACAAUCUGAGCACAUGCUCACUAGUUGAGCGAUUCUCCUCCAUCUUUUUGCUAUAGAACUUGUUGGAGAUUUCAUAUCUCUCAACUCGGGUAUUUGCUUGAAAUAUUAACUUCAACUCCUGGAACAUCUCAUAUGGUCCAUGACGUUCAAAACGUCUUUGAAGUCCCGAUUCUAAGCCGUUAAGCAUGGUGCACUAAACUAUCAAGUAGUCAUCAUAUUGAGCUAGCCAAACGUUCAUAACGUCAGCAUCUGCUCCUGCAAUAGGUCUGUCACCUAGCGGUGCAUCAAGGACAUAAUUUUCCUGUGCAGCAAUGAGGAUAAUCCUCAGAUCACGGAUCCAAUCCGCAUCUUUGCUACUAACAUCUUUCAACAUAAUUUUUCUCUAGGAACAAAAAAUAAACACAGGGAAGCAACAACGCGAGCUAUUGAUCUACAACAUAAUUUGCAAAAUACUAUCAGGACUAAGUUCAUGAUAAAUUUAAGUUCAAUUAAUCAUAUUACUUAAGAACUCCCACUUAGAUAGACAUCUCUCUAAUCAUCUAAGUGAUUACGUGAUCCAAAGCAACUAAACCAUGUCCGAUUAACACGUGAGAUGGAGUAGUUUCAAUGGUGAACAUCACUAUGUUGAUCAUAUCUACUAUAUGAUUCACGCUCGACCUUUCGGUCUCUGUGUUCCAAGGCCAUAUCUGUUUAUGCUAGGCUCGUCAAGUUUAACCUGAGUAUUCCGCGUGUGCAACUGUUUUGCACCCGUUGUAUUUGAACAUAGAGCCUAUCACACCCGAUUAACACGUGGUGGCUCAGCACGAAGAACUUUUGCAACGGUGCAUACUCAGGGAGAACACUUUUAUCUUGAAAUUUUAGUGAGAGAUCAUCUUAUAAUGCUACCGUCAAUCAAAGCAAGAUAAGAUGCAUAAAGGAUUAACAUCACAUGCAAUCAAUAUAAGUGAUAUGAUAUGGCCAUCAUCAUCUUGUGCUUGUGAUCUCCAUCUCCGAAGCACCGUGCUUGUGAUCUCCAUCUCCGAAGCACCGUCAUGAUCACCAUCGUCACCGGCGCGACACCUUGAUCUCCAUCGUAGCAUCGUUGUCGUCUCGCCAACUUAUUGCUUUUACGACUAUCACUACCGCUUAGUGAUAAAGUAAAACUAUUACAUGGCGAUUGCAUCUCAUACAAUAAAGCGACAAUCAUAUGGCUCCUGCCAGUUGCCGAUAACUCGGUUACAAAACAUGAUCAUCUCAUACAACACAUUAUAUCACAUCAUGUCUUGACCAUAUCACAUGACAACAUGCCCUGCAAAAACAAGUUAGACGUCCUCUACUUUGUUGUUGCAAGUUUUACGUGGCUGCUACGGGCUUAGCAAGAACCGUUCUUACCUACGCAUCAAAACCACAACGAUAGUUUGUCAAGUUGGUGCUGUUUUAACCUUCGCAAGGACCGGGCGUAGCCACACUCGGUUCAACUAAAGUGAGAGAGACAGACACCCACCAGUCACCUUUAAGCAACGAGUGCUCCGAACGGUGAAACCAGUCUCGCGUAAGCGUACGCGUAAUGUCGGUCCGGGCCGCUUCAUCUCACAAUACCGCUGAACCAAAGUAUGACAUGCUGGUAAGCAGUAUGACUUAUAUCGCCCACAAAUCACUUGUGUUCUACUCGUGCAUAGCAUCAGCGCAUAAAACCAGGCUCGGAUACCACUGUUGGGGAACGUAGUAAUUUCAAAAAAAUUCCUACGCACACGCAAGAUCAUGGUGAUGCAUAGCAACGAGAGGGGAGAGUGUUGUCCACGUACCCUCGUAGACCGACAGCGGAAGCGUUAUCACAACGCGGUUGAUGUAGUCGUACGUCUUCACGAUCCGACCGAUCAAGUACCGAACGCACGGCACCUCCGAGUUCUACACACGUUCAGCUCGAUGACGUCCCUCGAACUCCGAUCCAGCCGAGUGUUGAGGGAGAGUUUCGUCAGCACGACGCCGUGGUGACGAUGAUGAUGUUCUACCGACGCAGGGCUUCGCCUAAGCUCCGCAAUGAUAUUAUCGAGGUGUAAUUUGGUGGAGGGGUGCACCGCACACGGCUAAAAGAUCUCAAGGAUCAAUUGUUGUGUCUCUGGGGUGCCCCCUUGCCCCCGUAUAUAAAGGAGCAAGGGAGGAGGAGGCCGGCCCUAGGAGGGGGCGCACCAAGUGUGGAGUCCUACUAGGACUCCCUAGUCCUAGUAGGAUUCCACCUCCCAUAUGGAAUAGGAAAAGAGGAAGGGAAAAAGAGAAGGAAGGAAGGGGGCGCCCCCCUUCCCUAGUCCAAUUCGGACCAGACCAAGGGGAGGGGUGCGGCCACCCUUGAGGCCCUUUUUCUUCUUUCCCGUAUGGCCCAAUAAGGCCCAACACAUAUUCCCGUAACUCUCCGGUACUCCGAAAAAUACCCGAAUCACUCGGAACCUUUCCGAAGUCCGAAUAUAGUCGUCCAAUAUAUCGAUCUUUACAUCUCGACCAUUUCGAGACUCCUCGUCAUGUCCCCGAUCUCAUCCGGGACUCCGAACUCCUUCGGUACAUCAACAUACAUAAACUCAUAAUAAAACUGUCAUCGUAACUUUAAGCGUGCGGACCCUACGGGUUCGAGAACUAUGUAGACAUGACCGAGAAACGUCUCCGGUCAAUAACCAAUAGCGGGACCUGGAUGCCCAUAUUGGCUCCCACAUAUUCUACGAAGAUCUUUAUCGGUCAGACCGCAUAACAACAUACGUUGUUCCCUUUGUCAUCAGUAUGUUACUUGCCCGAGAUUCGAUCGUUGGUAUCUCGAUACCUAGUUCAAUCUCGUUACCGGAAAGUCUCUUUACUCGUUCCGUAACACAUCAUCCCGCAACUAACUUAUUAGUCACAAUGCUUGCAAGGCUUAUAGUGAUGUGCGUUACCGAGUGGGCCCAGAGAUACCUCUCCGACAAUCGUAGUGACAAAUCCUAAUCUCGAAAUACGCCAACCCAACAAGUACCUUUGGAGACACCUGUAGAGCACCUUUAUAAUCACCCAUUUACGUUGUGACGUUUGGUAGCACACAAAGUGUUCCUCCGGUAAACGGGAGUUGCAUAAUCUCAUAGUCAGAGGAACAUGUAUAAGUCAUGAAGAAAGCAAUAGCAACAUACUAAACGAUCGGGUGCUAAGCUAACGGAAUGGGUCAAGUCAAUCACGUCAUUCUCCUAAUGAGGUGAUCUCGUUAAUCAAAUGACAACUUAUGUCUAUGGCUAGGAAACAUAACCAUCUUUGAUUAACGAGCUAGUCAAGUAGAGGCAUACUAGUGACACUCUGUUUGUCUAUGUAUUCACACAUGUAUUAUGUUUCCGGUUAAUACAAUUCUAGCAUGAAUAAUAAACAUUUAUCAUGAUAUAAGGAAAUAAAUAAUAACUUUAUUAUUGCCUCUAGGGCAUAUUUCCUUCAUCAACACCCAGGCAACCUCGUCGGCUGCUGCGGCAUCCUGUAGGCCCCGACCUGCCCACUGGUAGGCCAACGAAGGUGUUCGUGAUGCCGAACAUGACCUGCCGCCGCGCCAGCCGAUGAACAGCAUGUGGUUGCAUCGCCGUCAAUGACCUGCAGCCCAAGGCUUCAAGCGCCGCCGCACAGAAGCCAUGUGCCAUUGCUCCUCGACAUCAUUUAUUGUUCUUCUUUAUCGAAUUGAACUCGAGGACGAGUGAAUGGGAGACGGGCACGACUUUGACGGGGAGGAAUUGUCGGGGUCAGCGGCUGCGGCGUGGAGAAACAACCCGGCGAGCUAAGGCGGCGACGUCUUGGUGUUCCUGAUCCGCGACAGUCGCAUCCUGGUGAUCCGCGACGUAUCCGAGGCACCAGCGGCGUCCUGGUGAUCCGCGACGGCUGUGGCGUCGCCAGCGUCUGAGGGCAUCUUCAAUGGUUGCAAGAUAGUUGUUGGUAGACUUUGCCACAUGGGAUUUUUGAUGAUGUGCCAUACAAUAAAUGAGGAAAAAGAGGAAGGUUGUAUGUACAUGAACCAACACCCCUUGCACAAAGCUCCAAUGUAGAAUGAGAGAACACCUUAUUUAUUAUCUCACAUCUUAUUGGGCAAACUAGAUACAACUCAUUGGAGUUGUUGUAUGUUAAGGUGUUGGUUGAUGACAUGGCAUAUUUUACCAACAAGCUAACAUACAAACUGUUGAAGAUGCCCUGACCGGUUCGGCGUUGGCUGUUGCGUCCUGUCCGGGAAAGGAGGAACAUCGGCUUGGGAUCUCGUCCUAGUGAUCCGCGACGUAUCCGAGGCGCCGGCGGUGGUGGUGGAGGUGGCGGCAUCUUGGUGAUCCGCGACUGGUGGCGGCGGUUGCGUCUCCUCGGGAGACGAGGAGGAGAAGAUUGGGAUCUCGUUCAGGAGAGAAGGAGCCCCGAUAUGUUUUUUUGUUUGAGUGUUUUUUAGAUAGAUAGAUAAAACCAGAGGUACGGGGGUGGUGGGAGGUGGGAGGAAAUAAAACCGGACGAAAAAUAAACCGGCGUACCAGGCUACCAACUGCUUCAUUAAGAGUAGAGAUUAGGAGUAGAGAUAAUUCAAUAUAAUUAAAAACAGUUGUACCAAACAAGAAAAUGUGUGUUACAUUUUCAAAAAUCUUCAUGCUUUUCAAAAAAUGCGUUCCCGACAUUUUUAAAAAACUGUCUAUCCAAUGUAAAAAAUCAUGUAGAUUAAAUUUUUCAUAUAAUUCAAAACAAUGUUUCACCUUGUAUUUUAAAAAUGUUUAACACACAUUCAACAAAAUGAUGUAAACAUGUAUUUCAAAAAUAUUAAACAUGCAUAAAAAAUCUUUGAGAUUUAUAUAGAAAAUGUAGAAUGUUUAUGGAAAAAAUUAGACAUCAAAACACAUAUUUAAAAAAGUGUUAAUCAUGUACUUGAAACUUUUUAAGUGCAUAUGAAAAAAUAGACAUCAAAACAUAUAUUUGGAAAAAAUGUUAAUCACAUAUUUGAAAAAUAUUAAAAAUUUAUAGAAAAGUUUUUUUGAUGUAUAUCAGAAAGGUACAAUAAUUACAAAAAAAGUAGACUUUUUAAAAAAGAAAAAAGGAAAAGGUAAAAAAACUUAAAAACCAAAGAAAACUGGUAAAGAAACACAAAAAAAUGAAAAUCAAAGAAAGCCAUUGAAAACCAACAGAAAAAUCCAAAGGAAAAAAGAAAAAACCGAGAGACCCGUUAAAAAAAGCACACAAAGAAAAGCGCGAUAAGAAACUAGGAGAAUCGACUAAGGAAAAAAAAACAUAAAUAAUGGCCUCGAGUCUUCCCAAAACCGGUCUACCAAGGAUCUUCCACAAACCAUGUUCUCUGAUAACGAUUGAUGCUCUCCGUCUUCAUUAAUGGAUCAGCCGGUUCACGGGAUUGCUAAAGGCGAGACAGAACUAUGUCUUGCAAUGGGCGAUAUAUAGCCUUGGCGUGCCACGUGUGCCCUGGAGACGAACUGACAGAGUUUUGACUAGUCAAGUUUUGACUACAACAAAUGCCGGUGACGAUCGAAAGCAGAAGCAUAGAAGCAUGGGUGGCAACUCCGAUGAGAAUUCUGCUCCAGCGAAACGAUGGCUAAGUGAGCUAAUCUAUAUAAUUUAUGGAUAAUUUCUGCAAUAAAGCGUUGAUUUUGCCCUGUUGUAAUUAGACUUGAUUAAAUUGCAGAAGGUGAAGAUUGUCUGUUGUUAACACUGAAAAUUCACCAAAUGUUGUGCCACUACAAAAUAAAUAUGAACAAUAUGUGAUCGGUGAUGAUAACAUUGACGAGGUUGAGGAUUGGUCUUGUGACUAGUAUUUAGCCUGAUUUUUGAUAUUAUUCUCACAUUUUAAUACAUUUAUGUUGUAUGAAACAUUUGGGCGUAAACUGCACAUGCAAUCAUCCAAAUAUGAUUCUCGGUCGACCGAAGUGGAGCAUUUUAGUUUACGGUGUGUCCAUUCUUCAACAAUACGAACAAUCGAUCGAGAGGUGUUUACCCUAGAUAAAUUGUGGUUUAGUCUUCGGAUCGGUCCUCCAACACCUAGGCUUUUUUUUUUCAAACUGUUGCCAGUUUACCCUUUUUUAUGGUUUUGGUUUGAAAUCGUCAUGUGCACCUACCUAUGCACUAGAAACCUUGUUUCUCUUUUGAUAACGAUUUGGAGCAAAUAAAAUAAAAUUUAUAAAAAAAUAUAUAUGAUAAUUUAAGGUAGUUCCAACUCGGCCAAUAUAUAUAUAACUCAUUUCAACAUAGGUUUAUUUGUAGCAAGUUCAAGACUACUACCACACCUGCAAAAAAAAGUUCGAGAUUACCGGGGAUCAACAUUUCCCUUAAAAGAAAAAAGAAACUGCAGGAAUCAACACGGCCAUGGAUACUGAAAUAGGCAAAGGACUUCAGGUCGCACCAAUCCUCUAU
rnacentral:lncRNA from 1 species